CCGAUACCACUCAUAGAUUCAUCAAAAUAAGCAAACAACACACAAAAACAGAAUCUGUCAAAAACAGAGCAGUCUGUAGGAAUCUGACUUGUUCGAAUACUUCUGGAACUCCAAAAAUUCUGAAAUAAAUUGGCGGACGUGAGGAAUUUGUGUAUUAAUCAUCUGCAAAAAUAAUCAACCUAAAAGCAUUCUCCAGUAAAAAAUGGCAGCUAAUCUCGCGAGCGCAAAAGUUUCUGUUUUUUACAGCAAGAUCGCAAAGACUUCACCCAAGUCUUCCCAAAGGUUCUACUUGGCACAAACACUAAUUAAAACAUUAAACAACAUCUAAAGAGAGGCUAGAUGAAUUAUUUAUUACUAAACAGGAACAAAAAGCAAAUAACAAAAAUAAAAUUAGGCUGCCUCCCAACAAGCGCUAUCGUUUAACGCCCCUUGCUAGGCAUAAAAACAAGAAUAGAUCUAGGUGUUGCCAUCUUUGGCCUUUAUCUUUUUAAUGGAGUUAUGCUCGAAUCUAGGAGGUUCCUUACGUUUCCCUUCAUACUCGGAGAUUUUUAGAUCUAGAGCAUUCAACCGCUUAUUGCAAAGAGUGAUCAACAUAUUCAUGCGGUGAAGGUUCCCGCUAACAUUUUUAAGAGGUUCAAGAGAUUUUUGCAAAAUUUUAGUUACUUCGCAUAGUUUCUCAAAAACUUGGGUUCCUUCUUGAGUAUUAUGUAAUCCCUUUUGUGCGAGUAGUACUCCUACUACUCCCUCUAUAAUCUCAUAUGCAAUACUGGGAUCAAGUUCAAUAAAAUUCCCUUUGGCGGCAAAAUCCAAGAGUUGUCUAUGGGACAUGGUUAGCCCAACAUAAAAAUUAUGAAGUAAAAUCUUGAAAUCUCCCUCUAUAGUGUAAUUAUGAUUGGAUUCUAUCAUCCUGUACCAAGCAUCUUUUAAGUUUUCUCCUUGCCUUUGUUUGAAGUGAAGAACUUCAAAAUCGGGAGACAAAGGAAGAGAGAGAGAGAGGGCUAGUCAUAGAAGCGAGAAAGGCAAAAGAAGAAGACAAACGAAAGAAGGGCGAAGAAAAGGCAAAGGUUUUCGAAAAUUGUUUUAGAAGUGGGGGAGAGGAAAACGAGAGGCGAAUGGAAAAUAAUGUAAUGCGGGGGAGAAGAGUUUAUGAUGGGUAGUUGGUAUGUCUUAAAUUGGCGUAGAUCUCCCCGGCAACGGCGCCAGAAAUCCUUCUUGCUACCUCUUGAGCAUGCGUUGGUUUUCCCUUGAAGAGGAAAGGGUGAUGCAGCAAACUAGCGUAAGUAUUUCCCUCAGUUUUGAGAAUGAAGGUAUCAAUCCAGAAGGAGACAACGCACAAGUCACCUAGUACCUGCACAAACAAUCAAGAACCUUCCAACCAACGCGAUAAAGGGGUUGUCAAUCCCUUCACGGUCACUCGCAAAAGUGAGAUCUAAUAAAGAUAGUAAAGUAAAUAUUUUUGGUAUUUUUGUUGUAUAGAUUGGAAAGUAAAGAUUGCAAAAUAGUAAACGAGAUGCAAUUUAAAUAAAAGAGAUGCAAUAUAAUAAGAAAGAGACCCGGGGGCCAUAGGUUUCACUAGUGGCUUCUCUCAACAUAGCAUGUAUUACGGUGGGUGAACAAAUUACUGCCGAGCAAUUGAUAGAAAAGCGCAUAGUUCCGAAGAUAUCUAAGGCAAUGAUCAUGAAUAUAGGCAUCACGUCCGUGUCAAGUAGAACGAAACGAUUCUGCAUCUACUACUAUUACUCCACACAUCGAUCGCUAUCCAGCAUGCAUCUAGAGUAUUAAGUUCAUAAGAACAGAGUAACGCAUUAAGCAAGAUGACAUGAUGUAGAGGGAUAAACUCAAGCAAUAUGAUAUAAACCCCAUCUUUUUAUCCUCGAUGGCAACAAUACAAUACGUGCCUUGCUGCCCCUACUGUCACUGGGAAAGGACACCGCAAGAUUGAACCCAAAGCUAAGCACUUCUCCCAUUGUCGGUGUCAAAACCGGCGGAUCUCAGGUAGGGGGUCCCAAACUGUGCGUCUGAGGAUCAAAGGUAACAGGAGACAGGGACACGAUGUUUACCCAGUUUCGGGCCCUCUUGAUGGAGGUAAUACCCUACUUCCUGCUUGAUUAUCUUGGAUGAAUAUGGGGUUUACAAGAGUUGAUCUACCUCGAGAUCGUAAUGGCUGAACCCUAGAUGUCCAGCCUUUAUGAUUACGAUUGCCUCUAUGGAUGAAACCCUCCGGUUUAUAUAGACACCGGAGGGACCUAGGGUUGUACAGGGUCGGUUUACAGAGGAAUGAAUCUUCACAUCUGAACGCCAAGCUUGCCUUCUACGUAAAGGAGAGUCCCGUCCGGACACGGGAAGAAGUCUUCUGUCUUUGCAUCUUCAUGGUCCAUUAGUCCGGCCCACAUCACAUAGCCCGGACGCCCGAGGAACCCUCAAUCCAUGUCUCCCUCAGUAGCCCCUGAACCAGGCUUCAAUGACGAUGUGUCCGGCGCGCAGAUUGACUUUGGCAUUGCAAGGUGGGUUCCUCCUCUGAAUACUUCAAACUAGUCCUCGAACACAUAAAACGUGUCCGGCUCUGCGAAACAGACACCAUACACAGCCACAACAAGGUAUAAUAUUUAACAAGUCCCAUCUACUGAAAACUUUUGUGGCGAGACGUUACAUCCCUUGCCUGGUUAUUAUUUCAAACCGUCUUUCAGCCCCUCGCUCCAUGUUACGAGACGCGGUCUUUAUUGGCACAUCUUGUCAAAGCAGAGAUCGUGCCCCCUUAUCACGGGAUUCUUAUAAAUAUGGGCGUGGGUAAUCCAACCAUGUCGUUUGCACGAUCCCUUGGGAAUAGGUGAGCUUUAAGGCCCGUGAGGAGGCAUUCGAUAUUCAUCGCCUUUAUAAAGGGGUACAAACCCGUCUUUCUCCCCCACGCCUACCUCUUCCUCAGCCUUUCCAGCCUCAAGCUCCAGCGCCCAGGUCUCGAUUUCUUUUCAUUGCUACCAAGCCUUCUAGUUAUGUCCGGAUCCAGCUCCCAAGGCAGGUGGACGGCCUCCUCGGUCACCAAGGAAGAUAUCGUGAAGCUCCGGGAGGCGAGGUACCUGACUGCGGAAAUCCCCCACAGGCUCCCUGCCAAGGGGCAGGUUAUCCCCAUGCUAAAAUCUGGCGAGAGGGUUGUAUUCAACUGUCACUUCCUCCGCGGGCUAGGGUUCGCUCUCCACCUCUUCGUUCAUGGCCUUAUGUUCUAUUAUGAGCUAGAUUUUCACGAUCUAGCUCCGGACUCCUUUCUUCACAUCUCGGCGUUUAUCGUCAUGUGUCAGGCUUUUCUCCGCAUCCCUCCACACUUCGGCCUAUGGCUCAAGACCUUCAAUGUGAAGCCGAAUAUAGUCGACGGGGAGCAGGCAGAGUGCGGCGGUGCUAUGGUGAGAAAGCUCGCCAAUAAUAUCUAGCCAAAAGGCACCUUCACGGAAACCUCCAACUUAUGGCAGCGGGAGUGGUUCUAUAUCACCGAACCCCGCGGUACCAAAUGGGCGGCCACACCUGCGUUCCGAUCUGGUCCUCCAUUGCGACUCGCAUCGUGGAUUAAUAAAGGGCUAGACUGGGGAUCAACUGAUGAAGUGCAGACGCUGCAAAGUCGUAUCCAGAGCAUCCUCGAUAAGGACACCGGCCUCAUAAACGUGAUCCAGGUGAUGCUAGUCCGCUGGAUCCUCCCGUGCCAGCGACAGCCUCUCCGCUUGUGGGAGUUCAAUCCGGAAGGACCGCGGACCCUUCAUCAAUUCUUCGGCACAACACACAGAGGGACGUGGAAACUAUUCUUCAAGACUCGAAAGCAGUGGCUGGACACAUCCGAGGACAUCGGCCUCGACUGCAACCAUUCGGAUACCUUGGUAAGCACCCAACUUCUGAAUGCAACUUUGUUGAUUAUCCCGUAGCGAUGUACUGAGAAACCUAUCUUCGACCAGGGUUGGAUAAAGAAGGUGGAACAAAUUAGGUGUUCGGCUCCACUUCCCGAAGACUCAGUUGAUCCUGUGUUAAUGAGGAUGUUGGCCCUGACGCCGUAUCAAAUGCCGGCGAAGGAGGACAAGAAGAAGAGCAAAAGUGUUGAAGGUGGCCUCCGCUCUAAAGGUAUACUGGAUGAUACGUCCGGGGAGACUGAAGCUCCCUCUUCUGAAGAUGAAGACGAAGGGGAAGGAGAAGGUGAUAUCCCUUCUCCCCACAGGAAGAAUAGGACUGCCUCCGAAGACUUGGAGGUGGAGGCACCCAAGAGAGGGAAGAUGUCCCUGUCAGAUGGUUCGGGUUCGGAAGUCGAUGUUGACGCAGAGCUCCUCUCUAGGGACAAGCCCUUUGCCGAAUCGUAAGUGAACAAGGAUGCUCUAGACAUGUCCUGUUCUUUUCGGUUUGCCAGGGUAACAUUUAAACUAUAUGUUUGCAGCCCGACCCGCUAUCUACCUCAACAGUCCUCCUCAUCGGGGGACUUGCCUCCAAAGAUGAUGGAAAGCGAGACGCCUCCACAAGCUUCCUCGCCCCUAAGGGCGGACGACUUCGAGGUGUCGUCCCGGAGGAUCUCCCCUGACCAUCCAGCGGCGCGGGGGACAAUGAAGACAGCGCCCGAAGGUGAUACUUCGAUCGUCAAGGGUCCCAGGAGGCAGCCCCCACGGGGACCAACAAUGAGGGCCCCGAACUAUCUGUUUACAGCCGAAGACGACUCUAGGGUCGAGUAAGCGUACCCCUUUGAAGGGAGUCCGUACUCUCGCAGCAGCCUUCAGGAAUCCGGAGGUGCCGGAUACACUGAUGGGCACAUUGAAAAGUGCGUCCAUCUCAGAGGAACAUCGUACCUUAAUGGGUACGGUAGUUGAGAGGAUUCUGUCCGCGAGAAGCGGAUUGAAUGAAGCCUUCACGAGCCUGUUGAGAGGCUUCGAGGUAUGUAAUGUAAUAUCUUCAACCGCUCUUUACAUGCAAAAUGCGCCUGUGUAUAGAUAGUAGCCCCUGAGACUCUGGUCGGUUUCCACAGGGGGGCGAUCAGAGGAUCAAAAAGAUAUGCUCAGGAAAUAACAUAAUUAAUUUGAAAAUAGGUUGUUAUGUCAAUGGUGACCGCCCAAGCUGCGGAAGUUGCAAAUCUAAAGCAUAAACUUGAGUUAGCUGAUGAGCACAUUACUCUUAUUAACAGGCGGCUCAACGAGGCACAAGGUAUGUUUUGGGACAGCCCGCUUAUGCAUGUAUAAUAGUAUGAGCACGAAGCUGCAAAUUAUACAUUGUGACAUGCAUAACUGUAGAUGGUGUUGCCGCGGUUGAGACCCUUCGGGCCAAGCCUGCCCGGGCCAAGGAGCAGGCCAGAGUGAGCAAUGCGCCUGCCAAGAAGCACUACAAAAAAAUACACUUCCGUGAUGAUACGUGUUUGUCACAGUAGGUCGCGUUUUUUGUCAUGCAUGUACAUCCAUGACAAAUUUAUGACAGAAUGAAGAUAGUCAUACCUGUGCUGUCGUAGAAGUGUUCCAUGACAUUACCAAAAUUAUCAUCACGGAAGUGUCCACUUCCAUGACGAUAAAUCGCGCAUCAUAGAAGUGCUUUCGUCAAGGGUGACCGACAUGUGGCAUCCACCGUAACAGAACACUGUUAAGCUAUCGCGUCCGGUUUUGGAUCCGAUAACCCGUUAACAGCCCCGACCAAUGGGGAUUUUCCACGUGUAAAAUUCUGAUGGGCUGACGGAAACACGUGUCAGCUCCGCGUUGGCACAGGUGUCACUCAUCCAAUGGGCGAGAUGCGCCUAUGAUAUGUUGACACGUGGACCGGCCCAUAAAGUUUAAAUGGGCCGGCCCAACUAAAGGCCCACAAGAUUUUGCGGUCCAUAAUGGGCCAGCCCAGCAAAAGGCCCACGACAUUUUGCGUAUCAUAGUGGGCCGGCCCAGCUAAAGGCCCACGAGAUUUUGCGGGCCAUAAUGGGCCGGCCCAGCUAAAGGCCCGUGAGAUUUUGCGGACCAUAAUCGGCCGGCCCAGCUAAAGGCCCAACAUUCUAAGUUAAGGCCCGUACGGCUAGUGUCAAAUCGGCCCGUCAACGGCCUGUCCUAAACUUGUCAUGAUCGCGGCCCAUGGUCACUUCUGGCCCGUUAACAGUCCGCUAAGUAUAUGGGCCGAAUUACGGCCCGGUGUAUUUCCGGCCUGUUAAAGGUCCUCCUUCAUUUGGGCCCAUUUACAGGUCAUUGAAACUUUCGGCCCAUAAACGACCGUGAAGGAUUUGGGUCACGUUCGGCCAUGUCUGACAUUCGGCCUGUUAGAGGCCCACUAUAGAUUUGGGCCACUUUCGGCCUGUUGUGAUUUUCGGCCUGUUAACAUCGGACGAAAUCCAUGGGCCAUAUGUAGCCCAACGUCACAUCGGGCCCAUUAACGGCCCAUAUAAAAAUGACGAUAAUCUAGCCCGACCGAACUUCCGGCCUGUUAAACGCCCGUGUAUUAGGUCGGCACAUUUACGGCCCGUCCGAAUUUCGGCCUGUGAAAGAUCCGCAUCGUAAAUGGGCCCAAUCUCACUUUCGGCCUUUUAAAGGCCCAUAUUUUUUAUGGGCUCGAGAUAUUUACACCUAUAAACGGCCUAUUGUUACUGAGGGCCCAAAUUAUGUUUAGGCCUGUUAAAGGCCCACUAUGGGGACAGGCCUACAAGAAAAAUAUGAAAUCUUAUGCUGAUUUAGGCCCAGAUAUUUUUAGUGGGCUACAUGCAAAUUUCGGCCCAUAAUCAUUUUUAGCCCAAUUGGAAUGGGCCCAACGAAUGUUGGCACGUUGGGCUCCUACGAAGCUUUCGACCGAAUACAUUACUAAGAUAAACCUACACUAUACAAAAAUAGCGUCGUAAUUAUUGCAGCCUUUGGCAGCAUCAUAAAUGCCGUAUCACAACAAAAGGCCUGUUGGCAUAAAGUUUACAGUCCUUGCAGAUAAAAGCACCAUCAGAUGUAUAGAAGCACAAAUCAUUUGACCUGAGUGCUAAUGUUUCAGGCUGUAGAAUCUGAUGGAGCAGCACGAUCUUCACCUUUUUUCCGCCAUUGCUCUUGAACAACGAAGCAAAUGUCUGAUAGUCUGGUUUCAAAACCAUUCAUAUCUUGAUGACAUUUGUCAACCACUAUUCUUGUUUCCAAAACGACGUCCAUUAGGGAUUGGACUUGUGUCUGGAGCACAGAUAUAUCUCUCUGUCUAGCAGGAAGAUUUUGUUCAGUAGGCGAUUUGGACGAGGUUACCUUGACAACCAACCCAGAAUUACACAGGAAGGUGCUUUUUGCACUGUUAGUGGAGAGAUACUGACGCACUGCAUCAAGAGGUGACAUUGUGCAUGUGGUAGCCUCGUCACCUUCUGGUGGUUGUGGCUGUUCAAUCAUUUUUUCCAUAGCUUCCUGAAAGUUUGAACUUGUAGAUUAGUGUACCAGAUAAGUUACUAAUGAGACAAAAACAAACAAAGUAGGUUACACGUUUAUACAUACUUAUUUUGGUGAACUACUGUAAUACAUUAGCAUGUAUUGUAGUGCCAACUACAUAAUAAAAUCACUUUCGGAACAUAUGUCCAUGUAGCAUGCCUACUGUAUUGUCUAUUUCCUCACAUUCGUUGACAUCUAAGGAUAAAGAGACAUGGUUUAAAGUAGGAUGAACAUAGUAUGACAUCAUUCAUAUCAUUGGCAAACAUAUAUAAAACAAAUAGGCUAUUUUAUCAUUGUGUGCGCACGUGAACAUAACAACUAGAAUACAGAUCAAGACCAAAAGAAUAUCCUUCAUCUCUUUUAAACCAUGUAAGGUGAAAGGAUACGUUAAGACAACUGUGUAUAAAAGUGAACAGAGUAACUGAUAUUGGCUGCAAACCAAGUAGUUAAAUGAACAUAUCACAGUACCAAUCAGUUCAAAGGCAGGAGGAGUAAGGACUUACAACAGCGGCUUGAACUGGUGUGCUCAUGCCCUUCAUCUUGCUGGUGUGGCAAUCCUUGAAGAUUUGCACUGCAUUCGGUUCAGGUUCUUUUUGGUCUGCACAGGCUUUCCUCUGUAUUUGGAACAAGUCAAUAUAGAUACGAUAAUAUGGCACAGAAAAAAUAAGGAAGUAGCAGCUAUUUACAAGAGCCUCGCAGUGUGCAAUAUAGCUACGAGAUCCUAUUGUCUGUUGGAAUUUCACUUUAGAACAGUUGUUCUUGUUCUUCAAACAAUUAGCCUAGAAGAAGAUACACUUGUAAGGCACAUACAUAAAUACAAGUUCAAUAUGUGGUUUGAUCAAAUACAUAUAGCCUACCUGAUACUUUGGAUCAAACCAGUGUUUAAUGAGGGAUGUCCAGUCUUCAUCUGUAAUAUAUUCCACUGGAGAUCUUUGGGCGAUUUCAUUGUUAGCCUUGCCUUCAAAGUGAGAUUUUCUAAGGUGGUACCGAUAUUGUCGCAGAGCAGACUGAAAAACAUGAGUGCAUGCUUGUUUAGUUGCAUCAUCUUCCGGAUCCAACUUGAACCUCAUCUGUUGAAAAAAGAAUGUGAGUCUUAUUAGGAGGAAGCUAGAAAGUAUGGGACAGAGCAAGACAAUAUUACUAAUUGCAAUGAAUAACAUUACUUACGGAUAAAUGGUCAAGGAAGGUGUUAAACUGGGUAUUGUCUUUCUCAUUCCUGUACUGGAUCCACGUUGGGAGGAUACGUGCAUGACACCUAACGGCAACGGCUGCCUCUGAUACUAACUUGGUUGACUCUGUAGCAUCACGUGGCCUUUUUAAACCUGCCUCAAAAUGGAUCUCCAUUCUUCCUCCUUUAGAUUUUGUUAAUCUGUCAAGCAUUAUCCCUGAUGUCUGUUUCCGCUUGCAUCGUGGUGCUAGUUCAACAACGAAUAUGGAAAGUGUUAGUGUACAUCAAGCUGUGAGAGUACAUAUAAAGGAGCAUGCAACUGCAACUUGACUCGGUCAGGUACCGUCUUGGUGUUGAUGCUCAUGAGGUUCAUCUGAUCUUGCCAAGUCCUGUUGUGUCAGCAGUGCUUCGGAAGUAGUGUUAGGUGUGAAGGCAGCUUGGGAACUGGCCAGUUCCGGAGCAAACGAACAAGUAACUCGUUGAGAUGCUGGUACAGUUGAAGCGGAUGCUGCAGCUGGUGUUGCAGGUGAUACUGUGUUUGUAGAUUUAGCCGGUGGACUUGGACCUUCUACUGCACUAUAAGUACCAGCAGAAUCUGGACGGAAGAUCCUUUUCCGUUUCACCCGACGAGUAACACCACUCCCUACUAUAUUAUUUUCCUUGCUCUUUCUUGACUUUGCCAUGUCAAGCCAUACCCACAACACAAAAGAAUAAAAUCGCUCUUCAGAACUCAUUGAUGCAUGAUACAGACAAGCAAUACUUUGAUGUAAGACAACCGUACGAGGAUGGAAUAUGUAAGAAAAACAGGACGGCAUGACAUAUUCACAGCUACGAUGUGUAAACUAAGCAGAAGGAUUUUCAAGAAAAUAGAAGUAAUGCAAGCUAGACACCAUAUGAAAGAUGCAACCAAUAUUACUCUGCCAAGUUAAAAGUGUCUUAUCAUAAGUGGCAAUUCGAAAAAUUAGAAGCAGUACAACGUAGAAAUCAAUGCAAGAUGCAACCACUAUCAAACUGCCAUGUUAAAAGUGUCCAAUCAUGAGUGACUGAUGCGGGGUACACAACAGCAGUACUUUGAUGUAAGAACAUGGUAUGAUAGAUAGAUGCAGUGUAUUCUAGACACAGAACGCCAUGGCAUAUGCACAUGUAUAACGUAUGAACUAAGCAUGUGCAAUUUAAUCAAAAUAGAAGAAAUACAGUCUAGACAACAUAUGCAACAUGAAACCAAUUAUCACACUGUCAACUUAGAGCAAGCACCUGCGAUGGUGGAGUACGGGAGAUGAACUCAUCAUGUAGACUUGGGACUUCAACUUCAUUAGCAGUAGCGGUGGCAAAUCUAGAGAGUCUCUGUUUGCGUCGGUGCGGAGGACCACCAACAUCCCCUAACUUACUCUUUUCCUUCCUAUUUUCUGAUAUUCCCUUAUGAAGUCAAAACCACAAGAAGAUGAAUAAAAUUAGCUCUGCAUAACUGGUUGAUGCAUGAUACAGACGAACACUACUUUGAUGUAAGGAAAGCGCGGGAUUGGAGGAUGGAAUAUAUACAAAAAAGACAACGUUUCAUAUUCACACGUACGAUAGGAGGAUGGAAUAUGUAUGAAAAAACAGUAAGUGGAAAGCAUUUCAACAAAAUUAGAAGAAAUGAAAGCUAGGCACCAUAUGAACAUGCAACCAAUAUCACUCUAUCAGGUAAAAAGUGUCUCGUCGUAAGUGCCAUUUCAAGAAAUUAGAAGCAGUACAAGCCAGAAGACAAUGCAAGAUGAAGCAGUACAAGAUAGAAGACAAUGCAAGAUGCAACCUACAUCAUAGUCCCAAGUUAAAUGUGUCUUAUGGGUAAGUGAUCGUUGCAGGUAUAAGUUGUAAGCUACGCAGAUACAAUUCAACAUAAUCAGAAGCAAUACAAACUAGACAUCAUACGGAAAACGCAACCACAUAUAACAGUUCCAAGUUAGAGCAAGCACCUGUGAUGGUGGAGUAGGGGAGAUGUGCUCAUCAUGUACACGUAUGUUCUAGAAACAGGAACACGUGUCAUAUUCACAGGCAUUAUGUGUAAAGUAAGCAGAUGCAAUUCAACAACGUUAGAAGCAAUACAAGAUAGACAUCAUACGCAACAUGCAACCACAUAUAAUAGUGCCAAGUUAGAGCAAGCACCUGUGAUGGUGGAGUACGGGAGAUGUGCUCAUCAUGUACACAUAUGUUCUAGAAACAGGAACACGUGUCAUAUUCACAGGCAUUAUGUGUAAAGUAAGCAGAUGCAAUUCAACAAAGUUAGAAGCAAUACAAGCUAGACAUCAUACGCAACAUGCAACCACAUAUAAUAGUGCCAAGUUAGAGCAAGCACCUGUGAUGGUGGAGUAGGGGAGAUGUGCUCAUCAUCUACACAGCUACGUUGACUAUCUAGCCUUGCGUUGUCUUGCGAAUCUUGUUGGGAGGAUGGCGGAGUAGAAUCUGUAGAGAACCUCCGUUUCAGUUGCUCGGAAGGACCACCAUCAUCCAAUGCCUUGCCAAUUUCCUUCAGCUUUAUUGAUUUUGCAUUGUGAGGUCAAACCGACAAUAAAAAGGAAUAAAAUUUGCUCUUCAGAACUCACUGAUGCAUGAUACUGACGAACACUACUCUGAUGAAAGGCAAAGUCAUGAUACGAGGAUGGAAUAUGUACGAAAAAAUGGACGGCUUGGCAUAUCCACACCUAUGAUGUGGUAACUAAGCAGAAGGCACUUCAACAAAUUAGAAGCACUGCAAACAAGACACCAUAUGAAAGGUGCAAUCAAUAUCACUCUGACAAGUUAAAACUGUCUCGUCAUAGGUGGUGUUCAUCAAACUAGAAGCAAUACAUGCUAGAAAUCAUAUUCAAGACGCAAACCAAUAUCACACUGCCAACUUAAAGGUGUUCCAUCAUAAGUGACUGAUGCAGGAUACACAACAAGAGUAGUUUCAUGUAAGAACAUGGUGUGAUAGAUAUAUAUAGUAUGUACCAAAAACAGGAAAGCGUGUCAUAUUCACACGUAUCAUGUGUAAGCUAAGCAGAUGCAGUUUACACUAAUUAGGAGCAAUACAAGCUAGACACCAUAUGCAACAUUUAACCAUAUAUCACACUGCCAAGUUAGAGCAAGCACCUUGGAUGGUGGAGUAGGGGAGCGGAGACUUGGACCUUGUAAUGCACUAUCAGUACAAGGAGAAUCGGUACGGAUGCUCUUUUUACGUUGCUGCAGAGGACCACCAUCAUCGCCUUCCUUACUCUUUUCCUUCCUCUUUCUUGAUUUCGCCUUGCUGUUUCUUGAGAAUCAUGUGGGGAGGAUGACACUGCACUCUUUAAACGAGUAUGGCGUCUCACAGUAACCCACCCGGGUGACUGUCUCAUCAUAAGUGAUUGACGAGGGAUACAAAAGAGCAUUAGUUUGAUGUACGAACAUGGUUAAUAGACAUAUGUAGUAUGUAUCAAAAAUAGGAAGGCAUGUCAUUAUCAAAGGUAUAAUGUGUAAAGUAAGCAGAUGCAAUUUAACCAUAUUGGAAGCAAUACAAGCUAGACACCAUAUGCAACAUGCAACCACAUUUGACAGCGCGAAGUUAAAGCAAGCACCUGGGAUGGUUGUGUGUGGCAAUUGAGAUCAUCAACUACAGAGCUACGUUUACUGUCUCCAACUGCUGACACUGCAUCCUUUAGAUCGCUGAAACGCUUAGUGCUUAUCUUCGAAUUACACUGGAGCGACUUCUGUCUUUUCUUUUCAGCAUUCAUCAACACUGCGUCAGAGUAUGAAAUACCCAUGCAUAAAAAAAACAAUAGUGCGAGUAUGGGUGAAGUGUGUGCACAAUUAGUACAGUGUAAAGAUAGCAGAUAGCAGGUCGGUGAGAAAUAAAUGACGGGAGACAUAUGAUAGCUCUACAACAUGCAUGGCACACUAAAUUACUACAGGAUUCUAUGAAAAUAACAUUCGACUGAAAACAAAUAGGUCAGUCCAUUUUUUCUGCACCGUCUGAUGUACAAAGAACGGGCAGAUCGCCUUCAUCUACCUCCAGCCAGUCAGUGUUGACGAUCUUCCUCGAAACGGCAGCGACCACCGGCCCAGUGCCCUGCCUGCGCCCUCCCCUCGACCUCACCGCACCGCCGUGCUUGGCUACGCCCCCCGACAAUCCAUUCAAGCCCCGCCGACCUCCAGAUCGGGCGCAAGCAGCUCCUGCGCCCCACACCCCUAUGAUAGACACCGAUGUGCCGCUUCCCCGACGAACAGGCGGACUAGGUUCUCCGCGCGCCUAAGCGGGUGCUUCUUCUUUUAAUUGCGGUUCGACUGACCCUGAAUUGAAAUCCAGGCGGGCUACUGACCUCUAGCAAAGAAGAUGCAGUAAGAAGCGCUCAACUAGUUUCUUUCAUGCGAUGAAUACGGUUGAGCAGAGACGUAAGGUAUGCACGAAUAAGGGAAGAGGAGUACCUCUUUCUGCUGGCAGUGUUGUGUCCUCCUUCUGUUUUUCCAACGAUCUUCUUGUGGUUCGCCGAAAAUGAGAAGUUGUGGAGGAUGAUGCAGCCUUGGACGAACCCAUGGCCAAGUUGUUGAGUGUGGUGCGGUGGCCGUCUGUCGGCGGCGAGGAAGCAGAUCCGAGGCGGCGAACGACGGCAUAGCGGGAACAGCUUCGGUGCGGUGGACGGUUGCGACAGUGGAGCAGAAGCAGUGAGGCGCAGGACGGCGUGGUCGGAGUGGUUCUGGUACGGCGCACGUCGGCAUCGGCGUCGUGGAGCCAGCUCUACCUCGGCUUCAGCUGCUAAGUUCUUGAGGGCGUUGCGGUUGCGGUUGCGUUGGACGACGACGUCGGGGUAUCGGCUCUGGCGUGAUGGAGUUGGGCUGCGGUGGAUUGGGCGCUAUGGGGUGGAGGACGGAGGAGGAUGGGGUUUCGCGGCUGGUGGAGAGGGCGUUUUGGCACCCACGGAGUAUGAAUGGGGAAACGGAGGGAGGCUGGGAACUAAGGGGGAACAAUGUUUCGGUUUGGGACGCGCUUGUUUGAAAUUUGGGGAAAGUUACAAACUUUGCCCCCAUCUAAAAUUUUGGACAUAUUGCGGGUUGGGGGUAGGACAGUAAUCUCAGGUGUCCCAAAUGUGGGCGGAAUAGAUUUCGGCCGAGCUCAUGGGUGUUUAGGCGCCCACGGCGUAUGAAUGCUUCUCGGAGGCGGUUGAGACUGGCGUCUUGGUGAAGUUACAAACCUACCUCGGUUUAGACCUUUGGACAUCGGGUCGAUAGGCUACACAGGCCAGAGUCAGGAUAGUAAUUUCCUACCACCAAACAUUAGUCUCGCGCGGUUUCGGGUGACUAGAGGCCUAUUUGGCGCUUCGUUCAAUAUUUGGGAGCAGAAGCAUUAACGUUUUUGGUUCUCUUGAAUUGAACAUUCAGGAUUUGUCAAACUUCACAAAUAUUUACUCUUGAAAAUCCUAAAGCUACGAUUAUUUUGGAAUGGAUGUGGUACAUUUGAAUAUACAUUGUACACGAGUAUAUAUUAAAAAAUAUGCAACUUACCUCAGUUCAUGCAUGGUUCCAGAUAUAAUCUCCUUGGUUGCAAAAAAAAAAGUUAGACAUGCGUAUGAAUAUAUAUAGCUGUUCAAAUGCACAACAAAGAUUGAUGCCCCCUUUUACAUCUGAUUUACAAAUGCCAUUAUCUCGGGUUCAAAUAGAUGAAUGCACUUCCUAUGAAUUCGAAUCUUCGAAACCCCCUUUAUGUUAAAUUCAACAUGUAUUCUAUUUCGUAGUUAGCAAUUUGGAAUGGAUCCAUGCAAGUGACAAAUGUAUAAAGUGCUUCACACUAACAACAUGGAGUGCACUAAUUAAUGUUUAUAUAUGAAUUGCAAAAGCAUCCAUUGCCUGUAUUUCAAACCGCUCUCACUCUAUGGAUCGAUAAUAUGAAAUAAACACAUGCACAUGCUAGAAUUCAAUAAAGUAUGGGUGUCUCAUAGACCGAUUUUCAUCCAUACGCAAUUUGCAAAAUUCAUGAUCUCAUCCAAAAAUAAUAAUGCCAUUUAUAUUUUAAUUUAAUGCGUAGAACCGCCUUUUACACGUAGAUGCACUAUGCCUCGGCCCGUUCUCACAAACCGCUAUAUAUCUCUCUAUCUACCGCAUAAGUGCACACACUUUAUAUGCAUUGGCAUUUCUCUUUCACACAUGCUCACAAUCUCUCUCGGGGUGUCGGGGAGUCUCACGCACAUGCUCUCUCUGUAUCUCUCUCUCUCUCUCUCUCUUUCUGACUACUAUGUACCACUAUUUUCACUAAUCUCAGUUGGAAAACUCUAUUUCUCUCACAUGCAUAUAUACACACGCACGGUAUCUACUAGCCCUCUAUACACACAUAUAUGUGCCUACGUGUCUCCCGCACGCACAUUAUCUUUAGGCCUCUCUCGCACACAUUGCCCCCCCCCCAGACACACUUCUCUCUUAGUAGUUGGCAGAUAUGAUUCCAUCAUAUCAUUCGGUAGGAUAUCCCUGACUGUUAGGCUGGAUGGUAAUACGAGGCAAAGUUUUACCCUAGUUCGGACCCUUGCAGUUGAGGAAAAAGCCUACUCCUAGUACUGUAUAUUAGUGAUAGGGGUGUGUACAAAGUACACGUGAAUACCAGGCAUUGUGCGUGUGUGUAUACUAUCGACGAACUAGCCCCCAAGCUUCAAUAACAUACUGGAGGCCUAGGGUUACAAAUCAUAUAUAGUCGGCUUAUCACCAGUGGGGAUAGAGUCUCCGCGACUCUGGUAGCUAGCUUCGUGUUGUACGCCGAGUCCUCCACAUGGGUCUUCGUAUAACGCGUCUCGAUCCAACCUAUGUGGUGCAGAAUGGAACCGACCCAUGAGUCCUCAUGUUGACCCACCACAACUAGAAAUGAUGUGCCCACCACACCACACACGCAAUCGGCCACUAAGAAAAUAAGCAUAUACAAUAGUACAAUGUUAUACAUGAAAGUUAAUUGCAUGGUGCAUCCAAAAAUAUUUGUUCUGCAUUGUGAAUGUUUAUAUAUUCUCCUAAAAUAUUAGUCACGGGAAAGAGAAACGAAGGGCAUAUCUCUCCUUGUCUCCACCGGACAUCCCCUCUUUCUACACCACUUUCACGUACGCACACAAACUAUCUCUCGGCCCUCUAAAAGUAUGCAUGCCCACGACACAUUCAUGCAUGACGGUCACUGUAUUUCAAGCUAAAGCACUAUACGGUCACUGGAGUUCAGAGUAUGCUCAUUACGGUCACUGUAUACAUUCUCGUGGUGAUCAUACGGUAUCUAGCCCACGAUACGUCUCCGUAUUUUCUUGAUGACACUGAUCGACUUUGCAUUUGAUGCGUGCUCCGUAUUUUGUUGACGACACUUACGGUCAUUGUAUUUGAAGCGAAAGCAUGAUAUGGUCACUGGACUUCAGAAUAAGCUCAUCACGGUCACCACAUACAUUUUGUCGUGCUAACCAACAUGUGGUUGGAUGGUUAGGAGGACAGUGGUUUCUCGAGCCCACCAGGGUUAAAGUCCCGGUGCUCACAUUUAUCCUAGGUUAAUUUCAGUAUUUUCUGGCGAUGUGCGUUCAGUGGGAGGAGACGUUCCACUCGACUACGAGGCACCUAUGGUGACUUCGUAAAAUCUCAAGAUCAUAUGCUGGCCCACUCUCUCGAAGGUGCUCAUAGGGGUAGGGUCUGCGUGUGUGCGCUUAUAGCGGUGAGUGCUUGCGCGUAUAUAUGAGCCCUUGCGUCUGUACCGUGUUAAAAAAAUACAUGUCAUGAUUAUACGGUCACUGGCUCACCUGUACAACUCCGUAUUUUGUUGAUGACACAAUCAAUUGACCAGUCAAACGUUCCACGUGGCGCAACUAGUGUUGCACCAUCGGGGCGCGUAACCGUGUGGCCCACCUGUCAGCCCGUAUAUGAAAGAAAGAAAUGGUAGUUUGAGUCUAUACUGUGUUAAUAAAAUACAUUUUAGGGUGAUCAUACGGUCACUGGCUCACCAUACAGCUCCAUAAUUUGUUGAUGACAUGAUCAAUUGACCAGUCAAACGGUCCACAUUCAGCAGCGCACAUUACCAUAGGGCCCACCCGUCAGCGCGUAUAUGAAGGACAAAAUGGUACUAAAUUAGUGGUCGGUGGGUACUCGAAGUCGUGAGACCUGUGGUUGGCAGUCGGCAGCGGUGGGGGGCGCGUUGAUUGNNNNNNNNNNNNNNNNNNNNNNNNNNNNNNNNNNNNNNNNNNNNNNNNNNNNNNNNNNNNNNNNNNNNNNNNNNNNNNNNNNNNNNNNNNNNNNNNNNNNNNNNNNNNNNNNNNNNNNNNNNNNNNNNNNNNNNNNNNNNNNNNNNNNNNNNNNNNNNNNNNNNNNNNNNNNNNNNNNNNNNNNNNNNNNNNNNNNNNNNNNNNNNNNNNNNNNNNNNNNNNNNNNNNNNNNNNNNNNNNNNNNNNNNNNNNNNNNNNNNNNNNNNNNNNNNNNNNNNNNNNNNNNNNNNNNNNNNNNNNNNNNNAUGGUCGGUGCGGCGGCGGACCGACAGUGAGGAGUGGUUUCGGGGUAGGCGGGGCGGCGUGGCGGCGCGGGCGGCGGGGGCCGGCGGUUCAGCCAGUGGUGGCUGGCGGCUCAGGGGGUGGAGUUUGAUGAUAAACUGCAGGCCCUUGAUUUCGUAUCCAACGGCUGGAAAAUCUAAUGACCAGAGAUGAAAAAGUCAGUCGACUGACGUGUAGCCUCACCCCGCACGGACACAUGCAUGCACGCAAGACACGCACGCAUGCAGGCGUGCAACACUGACACGUACACAUAACGAACACACACACGCAUGCAGGCGUGCAACACUGACGCGUACACAUGCACUCACGAACACACGCACGUACGCACACAUGCAUGCAACAUUGAAACGUACCCUUGCACGCACGCAACACUUGCACGCCUGCAUGCACACAGCACACGACGCAAGACACACGCUCAAACUAUACGUGCAUGCACCCUUUGUUAAGGACAUGGAUUGUUACGAGCAUUAAUCAAUCUUAUCUGUGGUAAGCAGAACAUUGAUGUUUGUAGCGGUCUUUAUGAAUCACAAUGUAUCGAACGGGCUAUCAACAUAGUAGGCUUAUCUACAUGAAAAGGAUGACGUCACACUCAAUGAACAAUCAUCGGUUUAUGAAAUGCCCGCUUCUGACCGCCCUGGCCCACCAAAGGUUCCUCUGCUGUGCGCUGCCUGCGUUGGGUCACUGACAUGCAUGCCAUGUACCGAAAGAGCCCACACGUCAGUGGAAGAACGGCACUAUCUUACGUCAGAGUCGAGGGCGCCACUCGCUGCACGCCUGGCUGAACACGCCUCCUUGUCGCAUUCAAGCGCCUCCAUAAAACCCGCCCGUGUGGAAGCCGAGAAACCCACUCUGGACACACGUCCGUUCAUGACCGGGCUGACAUUAAACGCAACGCUGGCCGAGCUCCUCCCGUCCGCCGUCUAUUUACUCUCCUAUUUAAAUGAGGCCAAACGCCGGCCAAGAAUCGCACACCUCUGCCGCUCCCCUAUCUCCUGCUUCACCAUUUUGUCCACUCUUACAAUGGCUUACGAAGAGUAGUUAUUCCGCAUCCAAGCCGGCUGGGUGGACCACCGAGCCCGCCGGAUACGAGCUAUGCAGCUCGAUGAUCCACCUCCCUCCCCUCGCCCGACGGAGCCAGUUGCCACCCCAAGCCGGCGCGCGGUUCAGCAACUCGCCGCUCUAGGCCAGCUCGACAAGGAGCAGCGCACGGGCGUCGUUGCUGCCGUCCACACCGCCGCCUCGUACCGCGUCUCCCGUUUCUGUGGCUGAGACUCCCAUGCCGGCAGCCGCGCCAUGCAAGCAGCGACAAAAGCCGGGUGCGCGGAGAGCGACGAGUCGGUGGCCAGCGCCUCCGCAUCCGCCGCCAUCAUCGAGGAGAAGUAGAACACGGGAGGCCGCCGCCACUUGGGUCCCAUGAAGGCCACCACAGAGGCGACGCCGGCGUACACAACAGGUGUCUUGCCGGAUCCUUUUGUUGCGAGGACCUUCGUCGACCCCGCAUAUACCUCUGGGGCUCCCGGCGGUCCGGUGAUCGUGCUGCCGGACAUGAGGAACACAAAUCGAUCGGCGGGCGACCAUUUAGGCCAGGUAUUAUAUACCUAUGCUGUCUAGAACUAGCACCGCGUAGUUCAUUUGAAUGUAAUGAAAUCCGUCAUGUUUGUAUGAAAAUCCGGUAUCUUAUAUGAUUUCCGUCGUUGUUUAUAUGAAAUAUCGCCGUGUUUGCGUGAAUUUCGUCCAGUUGGUUGACUUGCUGUCAUAAUGUGUGCGGCUACGGUUGGAUGGCGUAAUUUGCGGGUCGCCGGUCGGUCUGCGGGCGGCUUGGGCGGCGUGGUGGGACAAAAAGAACACAGCUCGUGCGAGCUCGUCUCCAACGUGCGCGCUGGAGGAUGCAUGAGAACCUGAGCCAUUCCUCGUUCAUCGGUGGCAAAGGCACCGGUGGACAAAAGGGUCGCCAAUAUUUUAGCUACCCCGGGCAAGAUCCAAACAACCCCUCCCAACAGAUUCAAAUCCCUUGUUCGCCGUGGAAUUUUGCCAUGUGUUGUUUUCAUGGACUAGCAAGAUGCCCGUGCAUUGCACGGAACAUCAAGAUGCAUUUUUUUACAAAACACCUGUUGUAAUUGACCCAUGCAGGAGUAAUCCCAUUUUGUAAAAACUAAUGAUUGCUCGAGAAUUUUAUCGGAUAAAUGGUAUCUCGAGAAUUUUAUCGGACUCCAUUUUUGUAUACAAGGCCACAAACCCAUAUUACUGGUACCAAGGCAAAAAUUAAUGUCUUCUAACUCAAUGUUGCAAGCCACCUUGUUUCCUUGUUUGCCGUGUAAAUUAAUGUGUAUUCUUCUCUUUCAUGCACAUCAAGCCAAUGCUCACACUCCCGCAUGCAUGCAAGGGAUAAUUAAUGUCCUCCUUUGCUAGUAGUAGUACGAGGCAAACACCAUUAAUAUUGCAUCGAUUAGUGUUAGUGGCCUUGUAUAUUUGCAAAUUGUAAUUUUGAUACUAGCCUUGUAUAUAAAAAUGGCGGGAGAAAGAUGAGAGGUAAGGUGAGGAGGAGUGGGGCGUGGUGGUGACUGGUGGUCGGACUGGGCGGAGGCAUGGGGAUGGACGGCGCAUUAUGUCUAGGUUUGUAUCUCUAUAGUCCCUCUCACACACACCCACGUAGGUGGGGGACGUGCACGAAGAGAAGAGGUGCACGCACGGCGCACAUACUCCUGUCUCUUUCCCAACCACACCCGCGUGGGUACACGGUGGAGCUCAUUUCUGUACGAAAAGGCAGCCCACGUGGUAACUUGACACGUGUACUAGUUGUCCACUAGAUGGAGAGAGGAUCAUCUACCACGGGUGAACAAACAAAUUGCGACUUGACGCGUUGUGUUAAAAAGGUGGCAAACCAUGUGGGGCCUACCUUAGAGGCAAUGCUCUAUACAUUGGAGUACUUUGAUGUGUCUCGUCAACUCGCAGAACGAGGAGAAGCUUGCUUAGUACGCUGUCUCCCCCACCCACGGGCGCGGUGGCUCGCAGGAUGAGGUGAAGCUUGCUUACUAUGCCUUACGCCCGCUCCCUCGCCCACGCGCGCGAUGGCUCACAGGACGAGGAGAAAUUUUUACUACUCCCUCUGUUUACUCCUCGUCCCAACUACCUUGGUUAGAGAGAUUAUCAUACUGUUUGGAAUAUGUAUGUCCUUUAGUACUCCCUCCAUUUACUUAUACAAUGCCACUAUAAAAAAAUACAUUUUGCAUCUAUAAAAGGCCACAAAUAGUAAUCGAGACAAAAGUUACUACUCCCUCCUUUCCAGUUUAUGGCUCAAUUUCAAAAUCUCUCCAACCAAGGUAGACGGUGAGUGGUCGAAUUAAUUUCGUACUACUAGUUUGCACAAGUAAUUAGUACGCUCGUUUUUCUCAAGAAGUUAUGUUUAUCGAGGCAUUAAUUAGAACGAAUGCAUGAAUGACCACUAAAUUUCCAUGAACUUCUACAUGCAUUGGUGAGUUUUCUCUUGACACUGCUUGCAUCGGGUGAUCUAGCGCACCUCGAAAUCCAACAUGUGAUGGUACUACUACUAGUAGUAGAAUUGAGACUUAUAAAACGGAAAAACGAAUGUUUUUUAGAUGAGCCCUAUAAACCCUAGUGGGUAUGUACUCCGUAAAAUCAGAUUUUCCCAAAACUAAGUCGCUCAACCUUUAUUUGCUUGUUUCCCUUCCUGCCUCCUUGCCUCGAACAGACUAUGCCAAACUCCCCUGCCUUCCACGCGGGAAAAGACCUGCCCUCACCUUUUUUUAGUCCGGGUUUGUAUCGAUGGAUCGUGCGAAGUAGCAAAAACCCAAGCCUUGUCUUGUACUCCUCCGUCGCCGCUCGCUUUCAUGAAUUCUGUACUUCCUCUCGCCGACAUGUGGGACAUAUAGCAACCGGGUCGAUGUGUCAAGCACCAAAUAACAGUGCAGAACAUCAGGGGGGACGCACCCCAGUCGUACCGCCCCAGUAGUAGUAGUAAUAAGCAAUGAGACAUCAAAUCACAAUGCCGCACCUUCCCAGACGGACGAAGCAACCAUUAUUUCACACUUCGGUUUGCCAUGAUCUCAAACCACGUAGUAUUGCUUCUGCCUCAAGAGGGACACGUGCAUCGCCUUGGUACAUCAUGACACGUGGGACCGCAUGACAGGCCAUGCUCCCCCGCCGAUCGCUCGAUAAAAUCACCUCAUUUUUACUACUAUACUUCCUCCGUAUCGGUUUACAUGGCAUGCACAUCGUUCUAGGUUGAUAAUUUAACUGGCUAUAUAUGUGAUGAACAGUAUAUGUUUAGAAACUACAUCCGCUUAAUAAUCCAAUGAUAUACUUUUUGUGACAUAGUAACUCAGAUUUAGUAGUCAAAUGGAUGACCUAGAACUACGUGCACGCCCUAUAAACCGAGACGUCUAAAAAAACGGGACGGAGAGGGUAGUUCAGUACGUAUGUUUUUAGAUCAAUAUAGUCGGGAUUCACCAAGGAGCAAAACCAAGUGGUAGGCUGCACCUGUCGUGUUGGCGUAGCGACUCAAGCAGGGUCAGUUCGCACACGAAAUGGUGACACACUUAACAAGACACCUUUGGCCAACAUGUGGCUCAUCCACCGUCUUGUUCCAUGUGCGAUGCACCAAAUUAUAGUUCGGAGCAGCGGUUGGAAUUGGAGGCACCCCGGUCGUAGUGCCGCAGUAGUAGAAAAUGAGGGGUCAAAUCACAAAGCCCCACCUUUCCCGCAUUAAGCUCGACGGACGAAGCAACCAUCAUUUCACUCUAGGGCGCAAGAGCAUAAAGAAAAGAGAAAACCAAUGAUGCGUGCGGCAGCUACCUAGGGCACCCUAGGGUAGGGGUCUCCACUACAGAUCAAUUUUUUAAAGCGCCUCCACUACAAAUCGGCUUCUCCCUUGUCCUCUUGAAGAAAACCGAUGAUGCGUGCGGCGGUAGGGUUUGUAGGAGUACUACUAGGGCGUGCGGGGCCACGUCGUAGUAAACGGGAGAGGGAUUGAGUUCAAGUCGACGCCUUAAAUAUGUGUGGGCCGCUUGUGUUUAGGGGAACGAGGCAGCAUUUUGUGUUCGGGGACCAGUGGAGAUAUAGUACGUACAAAAAAUUGUGGACGUAGGUUCGACCGAAAGGCAAUGAUGCAUGGGCCCUGCAUUUUGAUAUACCCGGGGCCGCGUGAAAUUUGCUACUCUACUCAAAACUAGUAAGGUACACAUGCAUUGAACGCAAGAGAUUUCGAAACCAAAUUAUGAAUAAAUACACACUAUAGCAUGUAAAGCUUUGAGUCAUAUAUGCAUGAUGUAGAUGUUCGUUUAGUUCUUAUAGUUCAUCUCAUUCAAAAUCAAUUAGUUUUAUAAAAAUGUUAAGAUUCAUGGGGUUGUGCAUUGUAAAGCAUAAAGUAAAAAACAAAUAAUGGCAAUUCAUUUAGAAAAAAAAUCAAUUAUGAUACGAAAGAUUCUAGAAUAAAGGAGAAGUGCUUGUGUUUUGAGGUUUGUGCAUUAUGCUUAAGUUCAACCAUGGAGUCUUCUAAAUUGUACAUGUGGCAGAUCUGGUGGAAUGUUCAUGAUAUCCAACGGCCAGUAGUGCUCAGAUUUGCCAUCUCUGCACUGUCGGAUUAGCUUCAUCCAGCGACCAUCUUUCAAGUUAUUCGCACACUAUAUAGUUCUUGUGCCAUAGCUGCAUGUCUUGGAAAAAAGCUACUAGUGGGUUGUACUAGCUAUUUAGGAAUAGAAGAUGUAUACAUGGAAGUUGUAGGGAAAGAGAUGACAUGGAGUAUCUCAAUUCCUAUGAGUAGGGAUUGGAAAAGAGAUGUCAUUUGGUUGACAUCAUAGGAACUUUUCUAUUGAAUCUAGAGAUGACAUGUAUCUCAAUUCCUAUGAGGGGGGAUUAGAAAAGAUAUGUAACUUGGUUCAUAUCAUAGGAACUUUUCUAUUGAAUAUACACUAAUGUUUCUUUUCCUUUGAAAUUAUGGGAGUAUAGGAAUCCAUUCAUAUGAACCAAGUGGCUCUAAAGCUAUAGAAAUGAUAUGAUGUUUAUUUCCUUUGAAAUGUGGAGUAUAUGAAUCUAUUCCUAUGAACCAAUUGGCUCUAAAGGAAAAAAUCCUAUAAAAAUCUUAUCAUAUAGAGUUCCUAUGAUAUUCCUCCACACCAAAGGAUGGUUGAAAUUGCUGCAGGUGAUACGAUGGUCUUUCUAUGUAGACUCCUCCCCCAUCUUUAUAGGUACCUCUCGAAGAUGAAUGAAAUGAUAUAUACACGGUAUUCUACAUGUGCAAUUUGGUACACGAAAACUCGAUAAAAGUUUGCGAGGUUCGAAUUUUCAAUAAAGCUAUAUGCACUGCAUUUUGGAGCGGAGGGAGCAUACGGCAGUUGCUAACACUCACGUGGAAGAUUUGUGUGUAGGAGGAGUGGCUAUUCUGUUAAAUGACAUGGCAAAACUGACACUGUCGGAUGCCGAUCUAACGGUUCUUACGGCGUUCGUCAGGAAAAGGCUUGUGGCGAACGUUUGUCGGAUAAUGAUUUAUGGACACAUGCAUUGCAUUGAUACGUGCCCCCCCUCUCUCACGCACACGCACCAUCCCGAGUCCUCUCGCACCCACCGUCUAUCUGCAGGUAGACGUCACACACAUAUGUGCUCUUCACACCCUACCCUCAGAACUUCUAAAAAACAAAAGACGUCGCGCACAUUUUAUUUUAGCUCACACGUCACACACUUAUACUAUUACUCUUGUGGUGAACGUUCUUUGGGCAUAGUAUAUUGUACUUUCACGACGAGAAGCGGUGCACACACGCACUAGUUCUCUCACACCCACUCGCGGGUACACGUAGGAGCGCAUUUUUUUGAAGCUCGUACAACAAAAUCACUCCACUAUAUAUAUAAGCAGGAGCCUUAGCGCUUGCUUUACUAGGGUUCCUCUUGUUCACUCUCUCAUGCUCUCCAGAUCUAAGCAAGACAUAGGUGGCCACACUCUCUCUCAGCUCAUGGCUGGUCACAAAUCCGUCCGGACAACCUCGACCGGGGCAAGGGUGUAGGUGCAUCGUUCACACUGUCGUCGGCGGCGAGGGAGGAGACCAACGGCUGCCCGCGCGUCCCGAUCGGCGGCCGUGCCGUUCUCUCCGAGAGAGCGUCGGCUCCGGAGGGCCUCCGACCCCUUCUUCCUCCCUGCGGUAUUGUGGCCAAGAUGCGGCCUCCCGACGCCGUCUUUGCCACAUGCCGACGACCCUCAGGUAUAUAUUCCUUCGAAACCUGCCUUGCUCUACUGCCCCAGCUCCCCACUUGGCUUCGUGUGGAUCUUUUUCUACUUCCGUCCGCUGUUCCAAAGCCACCUAGACUUUUAGUAUUAUUAGAGGUAAAGCUAGUUCAUAUAGUCGACUCUAAGAGUUGGUUCAAAUAGGGAAGAAAGUGGGAAAGCUGUAGCAUGAAUCUAGGACUUGGUUCUAAGAGGAAACGUGGGAAAGUAGUAGAUACUGGCUACCUAACCGGUCUCUUGGUUGAAAAGACGAAGAAAGCAUGGUGGAUGGCGAAGGGUGGGGGGAAGUGGACCUAUCUCUUGGUUGAAAAAGGAAAGAAAGUGACGGGUGGUGGGGGACAACGCAAAUGAGAAUGAGCAGGUCUAGAUUUCUUGUGCUCAGAUAGGAAAAUGUCGCCGAGGAGAUAAAAAAAUGGGACAAAUGUAGACAUGCUGCCUGAGUGUUUGCCGCUCUCAGCAACCACAUCUGCCUCACCACUUUAUGCCUCUGCUGUCCCUGCGCCCAUAUCGCUACCAUUAAUGUAAAAUCACAUGAAGCAUUAAGCAAUGCCACCUAAUGUCACUAUAAUUAAUGGUCUAGUGCCGUCGAUAAAUUGAAGCAAUGCCACCACCAUUUUAUGAAGUGCUUCCGUCUUGCUUUAUUUCCCAUGAAUUGUGUUCUUGCAGUUACACUUAAAUCUCACACCGCUAACAUUGCUUCAUCCCAGUGGAACUGCACAACUUUGAUUGCACAUUUACUGACCAUGUGCUACUCUCAUGACAGUAAUACUAAUGCUAUUGUUCUGCAUGUUAAUCUAGUGGCAGUGUUGAUGUGAUGUGAUGCUACUUACUUAAGGACACUUUCAUACUGUCAAUCUAGUGCCAAUUAUAACACAAUAGAUGCUGUUGUUAAUCAUACGCCACUGCAAAUAUCUGUCACUAUUUAAAUAACCGUAUUUCGUAUUUGCGCAAACAGGGAUGUCUGUCUCCAUAUCCUUUCGGGAUGUCUGUCUCCGUAUCGUUUCUAUCCACACAAUCAAAAGCACAUACCUCAGUUUUAGUAGAACUGCACAAAAUGGGAUGGCUAUCCCUCGUUGUCGUCGUCUAACCAACCGUCUUCCAGGUAUUCCUACAUUGGUAGUUACUAGGUAGAAUGACCAACGCAAUAUAAAAGAAGUUGAUUCGUACGUUUUACUUCCUGAUUGCAGUGUAGGGACGAGCAAAAACAACUCCAUCCUAGUCCAGAAUGCACUUUCUACUAGUUCAUCCAUGGACCAAGGACUAGCUGGCACGGCUGCACGGCGGUUUUUUGGAUAGGUGCGCGGACAAGAGGCAUUGUGGUCUGCUUAUUUCUGCAAAUAGCAGUGCUUAAAUUUAGUGGAAUGCACAAGAAUUUCAGCUGGUCAGUACACUACAUGGUUCAGUUCAGCAUUCCAACUGAGAACACAAUUAUAAUUGGUUAUUCUGGAAUGAGAGAACCUAACCCUGGAUGGUGGCAACAAGAAAAAACCAGAGUGAACUACAGGAAAUUUAAGCCUGCCGGGAGGCGCUUUGCUCAGAGAAGCCUUGCUUGUUUUUUUUCUGAUUUGUAAACCUUCUCACAACUUUGUCUUUUGCUGUGAACUAGUAUAUAUGUUUGUUAUGUUCUAUGAAUCAUUGAAAUGUAUAAAACUAGUGAGGACGCAUCUGUUUCGUCAACAAUUACGAUGAUUCACGGGCACACAAAAGUAGUAGCAGUUCCCAUAGAUGGAUUCAAACGAAGUACUAGCCCCAGAGGGCUCGAUAAUAGGCAAGGUUCGGAUAAUUAGACAGAAUCCAAACUACUAUUAAACACUAGUUGGGGCAAGUAUUUCAUGCCUCGAUCUAAUUUGAGCUGGACACAAGACGGACCUUGCCAUGAACAUCAUCGAGGACGUCCGGUAGCAGCUCAAUCCUGUGAACCUUCAUGAAGACAACCUUGUGGCCUUGCCACUCAUAAACUUGUUUGUGGAGGCAUGCCACGUCAUCUUCCUGCGUAAGCUUGACAAGAAUAGUAUGCCUCACAAACGAAGGAGUAGCUUUGAACUUCUUGUGCUUCAGUACACCCUGGACAACACGCCUGACAACAGUGAGGCUGGAAUACAACUCUUCAUUGGUAUAAGCGCAAAUGGCUUCCAGGAUCCAAAAGCCUAAAAACUAUGUUUUCCCAGUGCGUAUAUUCAGGUCAUCCACCUCAUAGCGAGUGACAUGUACAACCACACAAUCCUUGUCUGCAUCAGGGCUCUAAUUGAAACAGAAACAAAUUCUGAAUUACUUUCUAGUAUAAGAAACACAAGUUAUUUAAACCACUAUGUAUAGCAUGGCAUCGAAGCUAAUAAAAUUUUGCAUUAUUCAUCACCACAUACUUAGAUGAAAAACCACAAUCGAGAUCGGCAAAGAAGAAAAUCACCUUGGGNNNNNNNNNNNNNNNNNNNNNNNNNNNNNNNNNNNNNNNNNNNNNNNNNNNNNNNNNNNNNNNNNNNNNNNNNNNNNNNNNNNNNNNNNNNNNNNNNNNNNNNNNNNNNNNNNNNNNNNNNNNNNNNNNNNNNNNNNNNNNNNNNNNNNNNNNNNNNNNNNNNNNNNNNNNNNNNNNNNNNNNNNNNNNNNNNNNNNNNNNNNNNNNNNNNNNNNNNNNNNNNNNNNNNNNNNNNNNNNNNNNNNNNNNNNNNNNNNNNNNNNNNNNNNNNNNNNNNNNNNNNNNNNNNNNNNNNNNNNNNNNNNNNNNNNNNNNNNNNNNNNNNNCAGUAGUGCCUGUGAGCGUAUCUGGGGUCGGCUCGGUGGUUGCCUCCAUCUUCUUGGAGCUCUCUAUCUCGUGGGGAUCAGCCUCCCGCGUCUGCUCCAAUAUCGGCAGAUCUUUGACUGGUUCUCCUUGGUCCAUCAUGAAACUGACGAAUACUAGGAGACCACUGAAAGGAAAACACAAUCGCAAUGACAAUGAAACAAAAAAGAGAGUGAGGAUCGGUUACUGCUUUGCAAAAGUUCUUUUUUUUCUCUGAACGAAAAUAUACCAACAUCACGGAUCCGCUUACCUUCCCUUCGUUGGGACAGAAGAAUAGUGGUAGAUGUGAGUGUUGCCUUUCUUGAAGACGGUGAUGGAGAAGGGGAUUCAGCGAAGAGUGAAAUGAUGGUUGCUUCGUCCGUCAAACUUAGACAGCGGGGAGGUGGGGUUUUGUGAUACGACGGCUCGUUAUUGCCACGCUACGACCGGGGUGACUCUCCGCCUGCAUACUGCCUUCUAAUUUGGUGGAUGGCGUUUGGGCCCGCGCGCUGCAUGGCCCGCAUGUCGUUGAACAAAAGUAUAACGGCAUUCAGUAGAGGGAGACGUUUCGAUGACCUAGGAGGAGCCAGAAGCGGUAUUGUAUCCACUGUACUAGUAGUAAUUGUUUUUCUGGGUAGCUGUAGAGUGUCUCCACUGUACUAGUAGUAAUUGUUUCUUUGGGCCCAAGACAAAACAGCCCAUCCACUCUAGUAAAUAGUAAAAUCAAUUCAAAAGUCCAUAUAUUUACUGAAUGAGAGGUGCUACCCACACCCAGCACACCGCCCCCCAAAAGACAUGGGUGUUCUUCCUCCUCCUCACUCCCACCCACCUCAUGUCAGCUCGCUCCACUCGUACCCCCAAAUUCCUCACCUCACUCCUACAGAAAACCCCAGCUCCCCUUCUUCCUCACUACUACAGAAAAACCCCAGCUCCCCUUCUUCUUCAGUCGCACUACAACUAGGCUCGUCAUUCGUUACUCUGCUCAAGUCCGUGAGCGCGACGCGACGCCCUCGAGGAAAAUGGAGUCGGCUGACCCCAGCGCCAAGAAGAUGAGGCUCCCGCUAGCGGUGACGCCUGUUGUACAUCCCGCACCCGGCAGCGCGGGGAGAAGCGGCGACCCCGCCCCCACCGGAUCCCAGGAACCCGUAGAAUCUCGGGUGGACCGCAUCAGCGAUCUCCCGGACGCCGUCCUUGGGGAGAUCAUCUCGCUUCUCCCCACCAAGGAUUGCUGCCGCACCCAAGUCCUCUCAAUUUGGUGGCGCCCUCUAUGGCGCGCCGUGUUAAUCUCGACUGUCGUCAUCUAUCUCUCUUCAAUGAUUUUGAAAUCCCCAGAGCCAUCAUCUCCUCCCACCAGGGCUCCGUUCAAAGCCUCUGCAUCCCGUCAUGCUACGUGAGCAAGCAUACCAUGCCCUGCAUGGUGGACGCCUGGCUGAAAUCCCCUGAAUUCACAGAACUACAGCUACUUGAGUUCUACUAUUCCCCUAGAAAUCACCUACCAGAUACCGAACGCCAUCUACCUGUGCCCUCAGCAUCGAUGUCCAUCUCGCGGUUUUCCUCCUCUCUCCACACCGCCACCUUUGUGCUGUGCGACCUACCAGACAAUCUAGUACUAAACCUUCGACUCCCAUUUCUCAAGAAACUUUCACUUGUGCGGGUUCGUAUAUCAGAGGCCUCAUUGCAUAGCAUCAUCCACUCCGGUUGCCCUGCCCUGGAGUGCUUGGUGCUUGUUUUCACAGUUAGAAUCGGUUGUCUCCAAAUAAAGUCGCCUAACCUUGUAAGAAUUGGAAUUUGUUUUGAUGGAAGGCAGCUCAUCAUCCAAGAUGCCCCUUCACUUCAAAGGUUGAUCCUUGAUUCUAGUUAUUCACCGUUGCAAAUAACCGUCCUCUCUGCGCCUAAACUGGAGACCUUGGGUGUAAUACAUGAUCUCUGUGCUCAUUUCAAUAUGGUGUUUGGCUCCACAGUUCUUCAGGUACUUUACAUUAUCAUCUACACUUGUAACCAUAAGCUGCAUUUUAAAUUUCUGCGCAUAAGUUAUAUGUCAUCUUGGAGUACACAUUUUGUACUAAUAUUAUGUUCUAUGCUCAAUGAAGAGUUUCUCCAUGGAUGGCCUAUCAAUGGUGCUGGAUUCUGUCAUGAUCUUAUAUAUCCAAAUGAACAGUUUUGAUCUGAACAAGAUUAUUGGCUUGCUGCAAUGCUUUCCAUGUCUGGAGAAGUUGUAUAUAAAGGUGAUAAUUUCACGCACAUUGGAAGCCCGCAUAUAGUGUACUAGAAUUAACCGUUCAGCUGUUGCUCUUUCGAAGCUCUUUUUUAGACCUUAACUGUUUUCAAUCUUCAUGUCUAUUUAGGCAACAGGACGAGGUAAGAAAGUUAUAACCAAUCGGUGGAUUCGUAAGCAUCGGGAUUUUCUCACUUCUCAUGAGAUUCGAUUGAAGACAAUAACGCUAGAACGAUAUGUAGCCAACCGUGCAAACACUAGAUUUGUCACAUUCUUCCUGCUGAAUGCGAGGUUACUAUUGUCCAUCAGGCUUAAGUUUAUCAGCAACAUGGUUUUCACGGAUGGGUAUGUGGAAGAGGAAAAAAAGGAGUUUCAGGUGGGCAAAAGAGCUUCUGAACGUGUCGGGCUUCUAUUUACAACAUAUUGUGGUCAUAAUCUAGUAAAUUUUACGACCCGGGAUGUUCAUUCUAUGGACCUGACCGAUCCAUUUGACUGUGACUGCCAAAAACAGUGCUGGAGUUAGAUGGUGUUGCCCUUUUCAACCUGGGUUUUUUUGUAAACCUGAUGAAUAAUUAACCCUCAUGCUUUUGUACAGUUUGUAAGCUGGAGUUAGAUGUUCUUGCCCUUUUCAACUCGGCUGUGACUGUCAUAUUUUCUUUGAAGCAAGGCAAAUGGCUUGCCAGUCGUUUAAUUUAGAGUGAAAUAUUGUAACAACUAACAAAUCCCAACCAAGGGAAAUAACAUCACUCUCGUCGGCUGCUUGAGCUGACUGUGCAUUACAGAAGCCAAGUGAUUAGCCCCCACCAGCACCCACAAACUUAUUUCCAACUAGCACAUCAAAUGGGCUGUAAAUUUUUAUAGGAAGGGCUGCAUGACCAUGACAGAUUUGGAUUCUGACAUUUGGGACCCGCGAGGGAAUAGCCUAUGUAAGGUGGUGUCGACUUACUAGCCAGUCAACAAACGAUUCUGCCUACCAGUCGUUGGAUUGACAUCCAACAUUUGUCGUGUAUCUUCUAUCUCUUGUCUUCUUCUUCCUCCAGCCACCCAAACCAAACCAUCCCGUCGGCUCCGCCUGCUCCCGUCUCCCAUGGCUGGUUGCGCCUCCGCCGCCCUACCGUACGUACCCUCCAACAUUGGCCAGUCCCUCCCUCUAUUCCCCCACACGUCCUAUUAUUCUCCGGCGACGUCAGCCCCAACACGCACCCGCACCCGAACCAGUCAACCCUUGUACUCCCCACCGCCUGCGACUGGACCGGCGCAUCUUCCACGACUCCUGUUUGUUCCGUCCGAGGCCUCGUCGUCGUCCUCCGCCUUGCGGCCUUGGUUCGCUCGCCGUGCGCAGUGCGCCGCCCUCUUGCGUUGUCAACGUCGUCAACAACCGAGAGGAACAAGGAGAUGACUAUACGUGGAGAGGAUGACAGUAGGGACCCACCAGCGUCAUGGCAGUACACAAGCAAGUGCCUCUAUAUUACAAGCCCAAAAAUAUGGUUCCUCCUAAUGGUUGGACAUCUGGGGCUCACGCCAUUGUCAAUGUAGUCAAUAAACGAGAGAAUUACACUACGAGCGGCUGACACCAGGGACCCAGCAGGUCGCGCAGUUUUUUUUGAGGAACAAGCAGUUGUUAUUUAUAAUAGUUUUAGCGAUAGAUCAGGGUAACAACGGGGCUGUGCGGGGGUUCUGGCCCGUCUAGCCAGGGUUUUAUUUUUGUUUACCACAUCAUGAGCCCAGUUGUGUUUUUUUCUUGCUGAAAAUGGCUAGCCCAGUUCUAUUUUUUUUAAGAAAUACCCGAACGAGGCCUACUUGCAUUAUCAACCCUCCUGGGCUGCAAAUCUUUCAAGACGAGGAUAGUUUCAUUCGGUUUGCCCAGAAAUGGGUUGUACAUUUUUAAAACACAUCAAACCGGGAAUUAGUUUCAAUUUUUUUCCAUUACAAGAUUUUAAAUUCCAUUGAUUUUUAUGCGUGGACAAUUAUUUGGAUUUUAUAUUUAUAUAAAUUAUUUUUCAAAAUAGUUUGAAUGUGAAUCGAUAUUUCGGGAUUAAAAACAAUUGACCGCACCGAAAUAUGCAAAAAAUCGUAUACUUUUUAACCGUGGCCACAAUAUGGGGUGUAAUGCUAACAAAAAGAAGAUGGGCUCCAAAAAAAAUUCUUAAGAAUUAGCAAAUGGGAUGUACAUUAUUAGAAAUAAUGCACACGAGAGCAGUGACUGUUGGAUGUCCAUCCAACGGCUGCCGUGCUUCUUCAAUCUCUGCUUUUCCUGCUCCAGCCACUCAAACAAGCGCCGGCGGGACUGCCUGCUCCCUCCUCCUGCGGCCGGCUAUGCUGCCGCGUAGGCCUCACCGCCCCACCAUACUCCCAUCGCUGGCCUAGCCAUCCCUCUACUCACCCACACCUGAUGUUAUUCUCCGGGGACGGCAGACAAACCAGUAAACCCUCGUACUCCUCCGCGUGGAAAAUAACUGUUGAGUCUUCCCUGGCUCCGUGUCGUUCCCUUCCUAGGCCUCGCCGUCGUCCACCGCCCUGGUGCUCUCGGCGCGGCCUGGUUAACAUGGUCAAUGAACGACAUCCAUCCGAAGUGGACUGUACGUGGAGAGGCUGACAGCUGGGUCCAUGGUCGCACGCAAGGAAAUGCCUCCUUAUUACAUGCAAAAUAAUGAUUCCUCCACCUGACAUCUAGGACCCACGGGAAGGGUUUCUGUAUUUCGCGAAAAAAACGUUCCCCCCGCUGACAGGUCGGACCCACCAGCUAUAUCUUCGCACGCAAGGAAGUGCCUCCUUAUGACGCACAAAAAAAUGAAUACCCCCUGCUAGCUGGGACCCACCAUAGUGGGUGGCUGACUUGUGGGCCUACUAAGUUGACGGGGAUAGAGGGCUUUGUCAACCUAGUCAAUAUGAACGAUUCUAGCUCCAGUGACUGUACGAUGUCCAUCGAACGACCAUAGUGCUUCUUCCACCUCUGGUCUUCUUGCUCCAGCCGCCCAAAGCAGCGCCGGUCGUGCCGCUUGCUCCUGCCUCCCAUGGCCGGCUGUGCUGCCGCGGAGGCCUCACUGCCCCCAUACUACUCCCACCGCUGGCCAGGCCAUCCCUCCACUCACCCACACCCCCUGUUAUUCUGCGGCGCGGCAGCCUCACACCGCGGCCGGACUAGUGAACCCUCGUACUCCUCUCCGCGUGGGCAUCCACUGCCGCGCCUUCCCCGGCGCCGCGUCGUCCCCUUCCUAGGCCUCGCCGUCAUCCACCGCCUUGGUGCUCUCGGCGUGGCGUGGUCAAUGUGGUCAACGACCGACUUCCAUCGGAAGAGUACUGUACAUGGAGAGGCUGACAGCUGGGUCCAUGGCCACAGCCCAGUUUUUUUGUGAUUUGCCAAGUAAGUCGCUUUGUCAGGCCUGUUGGGCUGCAACUCUUUCAAGACAAGGAGAGCUUCAUUCGGCUGGCCGAGAAAAUGGCCUAUCAGUAAUGAGAAAAUGGGAUGUGCAUUUUUAAAACACAUCAAACCGGCAAUUAGUUUCAAUUUUUUUUCAUUUCGAGAUUUUAAAUUGCAUUGAUUUUUAUGCGUGGACAAUUUGUUGGAUUUUAUAUUGAUAUACAUUUAUUUUUAAAAUCAGUUUGAAUGUGACUUGAAAUUUCGGGAUUAAAAACAGUCCGGGCUGCACCGAAAUAUGCAAAAUUUCGUAUAAGUUUUUAACCGUGGCCACAAUAUGGGCUGUAAUGCUAACAAAAAGAAUAUGGGCUCCAAAAAAACCUUAAGAAUUAGCAAAUGGGCUGUAAAUUAUUAGAAAUAAUGGCAGAUGGGUUGUAUGAUGUUUUCCACAGAUUUGAGGCUUUCCUAAAAAAAAGGUUGACGCACAAGCAGUGACUGUUGGAUGUCCAUCCAACGGCCGUCGUGCUUCUUCAAUCUCUGCUCUUCCUGCUCCAGCCGCUCAAACAAGCGCCGGCGGGACUGCCUCCUCUCUCCUCCCCGCGGCCGACUGUGCUCCCGCGCAGGCCUCACCGCCCCACCAUACUCCCAUCGUUGGCCUAGCCAUCCCUCUACUCACCCACACCUGCUGUUAUUCUUCGGCGACAGCAGACGCACCAGUAAACCCUCGUACAGUCGUACUCCCCUCCGCGUGGGAAACAACUGUCGAGUCUUCCCUGCCUCCGUGUCGUUCCCUUCCUAGGCCUCACCGUCGUCCAUCGCCCUGGUGCUCUCGGCAUGGCCUGGUCAACGUGGUCAACGACCGACAUGCAUCUGAAGUGGACUGUACGUGGAGAGGCUGAUAGCUGGGUCCACGGCCGCACGCAAGGAAAUGCCUCCUUAUUACGCGCAAAAUAAUGAUUCGUCCACCUGACAUCUGGGACCCAGCGAAAGGGCCUCUGUAUUUCGCGAAAAAAGGUUACCGCUGCUGACAGCUUGGACCCACCAGCUAUAUCUUCGCACGCAAGGAAGUGCCUCCUUAUUACGCACAAAAAAAUGAAUACUCCCCCUGUUAGCUGGGACCCAGUAUAGUGGCAGGCUGACUUGUGGGCCUACAAUGUUGACGGGGACGGAGGGCUUUGUCAAGUUAGUCAAUAUGCACGAUUCUAGCUCCAGUGACCGUACGAUGUCCAUCCAACGGCCGUAGUGCUUCUUCAACCUCUGGUCUUCUUGCUCCAGCCGCCCAAACCAGCGCCGGUCGUGCCUCGUGCUCCUGCCUCCCAUGGCCGGUUGUGCUGCCGCGGAGGCCUCACCGCCCACUACUACUCCCACCGCUGGCCAGGCCAUCCUUCCACUCACCCACACCCCCUGUUAUUCAGCGGCGACGGCAGCCUCACACCACAGCAGAACCAGUGAACCCUCGUACUCCUCUUCGCGCGGGCUUCCACUGCCGCAUCUUCCCCGGCUCCGCGUUGUCCCCUUCCUAGGCCUCGCCGUCGUCCACCGCCCUGGUGCUCUCGGCGCGGCAUGGUCAAGGGACGACUUCCAUUGGACGUGGACUGUACGUGGAGAGUGUCGGUGUCAAAACCGGCGGAUCUCGGGUAGGGGGUCCCGAACUGUGCGUCUAGGAUCGAUGGUAACAGGAGACGGGGGACACCGUGUUUACCCAGGUUCGGGCCCUCUCUAUGGAGGUAAUACCCUACUUCCUGCUUGAUUGAUCUUGAUGAAUAUGAGUGUUACAAGAGUUGAUCUACCACGAGAUCGUAAUGGCUAAACCCUAGGAGUCUAGCCUAUGUGAAUAUGGUAAUGAGUAUCUCUCCUAUCUGGACUAUGCUCUCCGGUUAUAUAGACACUAGAGAGAUUUAUGGUUACAUGGGGUCGGUUACAUAAGAAGGAAUCUUCACAGUUGGUCGCCUAGCUUGCCUUCCACGCCAAGGAAAGUCCAAUCCGGACACGGGUAUAGUCUUCGGCCUUCGUAUCUUCACAGCCCAUCAGUCCGGCCCAAUGAAUAACAGGCCGGACGCCUGAGGACCCCUUAGUCCAGGACUCCCUCAGUAGCCCCUGAACCUGGCUUCAAUGACAAGUAGUCCGGCGCGCAGAUUGUCUUCGGCAUUGCAAGGCGGGUUCCCCUUUUUCCGAACUCCAAGAUAGUCUUCGGAUGCGAUGAUUGUAUCCGGACCUGUUACACACACCAUGCACAAUCGCAGAGAGACUAUAUAUUUUUACACGAGUUCCAUCUGCUGACAACUUUGCAGCACGACAUUACAUCUGACCGGUCAUAAUUCCAAACAGUUUUUAUGUUCGACGCCCCACGUCCCGAGACGCAGUUGCCAUGGGCACGUCUUAUCAAAGCAGAGAUCGUGUCCCCUUAUCCCGGGAUUCUCAUCAGCGGGCAUGGGUAACCAAACCAUGCCGUUUAUACAGCCCUUGGGAAUAGGCGAAUCUUAAGGCGAGUGAGGAGGCAUUUAAUAUUUGCUGCCUUUAUAAGGGGAUAAGGAUUCCCUCUUCCUCUUCUCAUGUUCUCUCUCUGUCUCCGCCUUUCCAAUCUCGAGCUCCAGCGCCCGAGUUCUCAUCUCCUUUCCACUCAAGCAACCAUGUCCGGAUCCGGUGGUCAGGGCAAGUGGAUGGUCUCCUCCGUUAAGGAGGAGGACAUUACUAAGCUUCGGGCGGCCGGAUAUUUGGCGAAGGAGAUCGACCACCGUCUGCUGGCCGAGGGACAAGUCGUCCCCACGCCGAAGCCCACCGAGAGGGUAGUGUUCAUCCCCCAUUUCUUCCGCGGGCUAGGGUUUCCGCUCAACCCUUUCGUCCGCGGGCUAAUGUAUUAUUACGGGAUAGAUUUCCAUGAUAUGUCCCCGAAUUCCUUCCUUAACAUCUCGGCGUUUAUCGUCGUGUGUGAGGCCUUCCUCCGCAUCCAACCCCACUUCGGGCUGUGGCUCAAAGUCUUCAACGUGAAGCCGAAGGUGGUGGAUGGCCAGCACGCGGAGUGCGGAGGAGCCAUGGUGAGUAAGCUGUCCAAUGUCUCCUGGCCCAAGGGCACUUUGUGGACACAGUAAAGGAAUGGCAGAAGCAAUGGUUCUAUAUCACUGAACCUCGCGGCACCACCUGGGCCGCAGCUGCCGAAUUCCGCUCCGGCGCUCCUAUGCGACUCACCUCCCGAGUCGAGAAGAGUCCGGACUGGUGUUCACCUGACGAGCUGAUAGCGCUGCAGACGCGUGUUCAAAGCAUGGUGACCAAGAAUUUCAAGCUUGUCGAUGUAAUCCAGGUGAUGUUAAUUCGCCGGAUUCUUUCGUGCCAGCGCCGAAGCCGCCCUCUGUGGGAGUUUAAUUCGAAGAAGCACCAGACCUUGGUAAGGCUCUUCGAGACUACUCACGAAGGCGCCUGGAAGUUGCUUUUUAAGGGCAACGAGAAGCCACCAGCCACGGAUUCAGACCGUGGUCACGAUUGUAAACACCCUGCCAGCGAGGUAUGUUAUUUUUGAUGUACCCCCAACUUAAUUGUUUCGAGGAUGAUGUGCGAGCUUUUAUUACUGCUUUUUCAGGACUGGAUGGAGAGGGCCAAGCGGAUCCAGUGUCCGGCCCCGCUGCCUGAAGAACCAGUUAUCCCGCGUCUAGCGAAGAUGCUGGUGCCGGCGCCAUAUAAGGCGCCGGAGAAGAAAGCGAAGAAGAAGUCAAAGGGGGCCAAGAGUGGCCUCCGUUGCAAGGGCACUUCGGACGAGACGUCCGAAGACGACGAAGCUCAUUCCUCUGUCCCUAGGGACAAUGACGAGGAAGAGGAGGAGGAGGAAGAAAACAAUCCUCCCCAUGAGGAGAGGAAGAAGAAGAGGGCGGCUUCAGCGCAUUUGGAGGCGGAAACGCCCAAGAGGGGGAAAGGCGUCCCAGCGGUCAACACCGCGUGGGGCGUUGACAGCAGUCCGGAACGACGCCCCCGCACCAAACCCCCGGCCGCAUCGUAAGUGACACGGCUCGCUCGUGCGCAUAUCCGGCCCUUUCUCUCCAUUAUCUUGACAUAGUUAACUGUACUAUUGCAGUCUGGCCCGCAACCUACUCCAACGAUCCUCAUCAGGAGGUUCGUUGGCUCUGUCGGAGAUGGCGAGCAUGUCGCCACCGCCUGCUUAUUCCCCCGGGGCCAGGGAUGACACCGAAGUGUUGUCCCGAAGGUCCGCUCCGAACCAGGGAGGAGCCCAGGACGCUGUCCGGGAGGCGCCACGAGGCGAAGCCUCCACUGCCGGACACAUGGGGGAGACGAUCCCCAUGGAGACUGGCGAAGAGGGCCGCAUCCAGUUUGGCCCUCAGCCGAAUACGAUUCCGGAGACCCAUAUUGCUCCGGAGUCAGACGAGAAGCCCCCUUUGAAGGAGGGGGGUGCGCCGCUUCCGCCGGUGGUCCCUGUCCAUCCAGGGACGCCGGAUAACCUGAUGGAGGUGCUACGAGGCGCCUUCGUUAUGGACGAGCACCGUGUCCUUAUGGGCGCGGUGAUCGAGAAGGUUCAGUCCACCAAGAGUGGACUGAAUGAAGCCUGCAGCAACCUGUUGACAGGUUUCGAGGUAAGUGACAUAGAAAGAGAAAAACCCCAUGUAGUUAGUAGCCCCUGAGACACUGUCAGGUGUUCGGCGAGAAGAACCGGACAGAGGAUCAAUCUUCUAUUGUAGGAGACUAAGUAAUAUGUGUGCAUAAGUAGGCGUCGCUGUUGGCCGCAACCUCUCAUGCUGCCGAGAUCUCUGAACUGAAGCAGAGGCUGGAGCAGACCGAGAACGAGCUCGGCGAGGUUAAAAUUCGGCUUCAGGAGAAACAAGGUGAGUAACGACUUGCUGUGUGUUCGGAAAGCAUAGGCGCUGUAUAUUGACUGUAGUGUCGUAAUUGCAGGAGCCGCGACCAAGGUCGAGGCCCUGAGGAAGGCCUUGGGCGAGGCCGAGGAGAAGGCUGUCCAGCAGCAGGCCGCCCGUAAGAAGCUCAAGGCCCGGGUCAAAGAAGUCCAGCAGGAGCUCCAAGAUGCGGUGAAAAAAUGUGAGACCUUCGAGAAUGAUGCGUCGGCUCAAGAGGCCGAACUCACCAAGGCUCGUCAGAGCGUGGAGACCGCACGGAAUGAGGCCCAGGCCGCCCUCCAGGAGAUCCAGGAGGCCAAGAAGAUCACGGCGGGUAAGGCAUUUAAGAUGCAAAGCAAGUAUGCGGAGAAGCGGUACUUUUUACUAACCCGGGUUUGGAGUUCCCUAGGGGCUUUUGCGGAUUUACCCCGCAGUGCAUCGCACGCCGUGGAGUUCUAUGGGGCCGAAGGAGGGGGUUCGACGGAAAAGCUAUUCUGGUCGCAAUAUGCGGCGCCGGAACUUCCCGUGUCCUUCACCGAUCAGUUGAAACAGCUGAUGGAGCUGCAUAGGGUGGCCGAACUCGCCAUGAAGGAUUUGAUAAUCCGGCUAUGGCUAGCCGAAGCUAUGCUUGGCAGCUACUUCGGACUCGUGAGGCGGAUGGUGAACGCAUGUCCUCGGCUGGACGUCGUCAAGCGCUCUGCCUGUAUUGAAGGUGCCCGCAUGGCCUUCGCCCGUUGCAAGAUGUGGUGGGCGAAGAUGAAUGCCGUUGAAGUGGCCAGAGGGCCGCCGGAGGGCAAGGAGCACCGCACACCCGAGCGGUAUUUUGCGGAUGUCAUAGAAGGGUCUCGACUUGCAGCGGCUGAGUGCGGGCAGGACAUUAUUUUCGAAUGAAAACAUUUGUGUAGCCUUUGCCUUGUAUUAUGAAAACAAAGCCUGUUUUUAAUGUAAUUUAGUUAUGCUUUAAUUGUUUCCUCCUGUGCGGCCGUGUUGUAUGCAAUCUGAGGGUUGGCCAGUCGUCGGCUUCUGCCCUCGCGUAGGUAGUACGGAGGUGUUCGGGAUGGAAUCUAAACAAUCUUGAUCCAAUUAUAUGGUCCUUGAAGGAGUUGUUUAGCGCAACGAACAAGGCAAUCAGACUAUACGGCUUAAACGCCCUCACUUAGCCAUAGGAGUUUUAUAAUAAAGCAUGGGCACACCCCUGGUCCAAGCCAAGGUGCUGUCAGCAUCUGAUCGGGAAGUGUCGAUCCUUCGCAUAACGCGGAAAAAAUCUCCAACGAUUUUUGUAACCCUCGAAUAGCUGACCGGCUCUCGCCGUAUCAUGACAGUCAGUUUACGACUUUCUCUACUGAGGUGCUCAUCCGGUCAAGGCCAGGGCACAAUCGCAGUAGUUCUCCCUUUACUACCCUAGCCGAUAGAGCGGAACAUAGGGUAGCAAGCACAUGAGCCGGGCAACCCAACUAUUGACCAAAGACAUGAUUCGGAGCCAAUGCAUAUAAUGCUAAAUUCGGGAUGCCAAACUUAUAUAUAAGAAGUGUUCAGACUUUGCUGCCGUAUUGUGGGGCGAUAAGUAGCCCCUGGCGAAUAUGAGACGUACAAAAGAGUACCGAUGCAGCCGAUAAGCACAUCAAAAUAAAAUGAAGUAAGAAGCAAAAAACCAGAGAAACUGGGCCACAAACCAUUUUUAUUAUAACUUGAUGGAUACGUCAAGGCGUAUCUUGUACAACUGGUGCGGUAAGUACCCGGGCUAUUUAACAUGCCGGAAUUGAUAGGGCGCAGCGUGCGGGUCCUGAAAAAUAUAAGUACCGUCAAGAAGAACGUAUAGAGGUUACCCUACACACCUGUGCUGCUUGCCUCCUUUGUAUGCCGAUCCUUCAAAGGGACUGGUGAUCAGGCCCGUGGGAAAAAGGAACCUGAAACAAAAAUGAAAAAGGUGAAAGUAUGUGUGUGCGGGAUCGGUCUAGCCGAACUGUGGAUCCCGGGUUAGCUUGUCCUCCAUCGAUGUCCAUGGGAUUUUUAGUGCGUAAUUAUGUACGCGUGGUGCGAAUGCCACUACUUCCUCGGGACUGGGACGGGGGCCGAAUUGCUAAUCCAGCUCUUGACGAGCCGCGCUGUCCUGCUGCAGUGUAGUCCGGGACCUCUUAAUGAUGUCCAGGGGCUCGAUAGUCGUACUAUGGUGCUGCUUGAGAAGGCCACUCUGUACCUCUGCUGCUAGGGCGGCGGUGUGCUCCUCUGUUCGGAGGGAGCGUUCUGUAUUUCCAUUGACUGUUAUGACGCCGCGUGGACCGAGCAUCUUGAGCUUGAGAUAAGCAUAGUGUGGCACUGCGUUGAAUCUAGCAAACGCGGUUCGUCCGAGCAGUGCAUGGUAGCCGCUGCGGAAGGGGACGAUAUGAAAGAUUAAAUCUUCGCUUCGGAAGUUGUCCGGAGAACCGAAGACCACCUCCAGCGUGAUUGAGCCCGUACAGCGGGCCUCUACACCUGGUAUGACUCCUUUAAAGGUAGUCUUUGUUGGUUUGAUUCGUGAGGGGUUAAUGCCCAUCUUCCGCACUGUGUCCUGAUAGAGCAGGUUUUGGCUGCUACCACCGUCCAUCAGGACUCGUGUUAGGUGAAACCCGUCAAUAAUUGGGUCAAGGACUAGUGCGGCAGAACCGCCGUGGCGGAUACUAGUUGGGUGGUCUCGACGGUCGAAGGUGAUCGGGAAUGAUGACCACGGAUUGAAUUUGGGGGCGACUGGCUCUACUGCGUAGACGUCCCUAAGUGCUCACUUGCGCUCCUUUUUGGGGAUGUGCGUGGCGUAUAUCAUGUUCACCGUUUUGACUUGAGGGGGAAAUUUCUUUUGUCCCCCGGUGUUCGGCUGCCGGGGCUCUUCGUCCUCGUCCUCACUUUGUGAUAUUUUCUUUGUUUUCGGCAUUUAACUUGCCAGCCUGUUUGAAGACCCAACAAGCUCUGUUGGUGUGAUUGGCUUGUUUAUCUGGGGUGCUGUGUAUCUGGCACGGACGGUCGAGUAUGCGGUCCAGGCUGGAAGGUCCUUCGUUGUUUCUUUUGUAGGGCUUCUUCCGUUGGCCGGACUUGGAGCCACUGAAUCCGGCGUUGACUGUGGUGUCAUCGGUGUUGUCGCCAUUGCUUCGGCGUUUGUGUCUGUUGCGCCGGAGCUCGCCGGUGUUGUUUUUGGCCUCAGUGGGGCCUGCCUCACUGGCUGUGUUUUUGCUACGCGCCAGCCAGCUCUCCUCUCCCGCGCAAAAGCGGGUCAUGAGUGCCGUGAGGGCUGCCAUAGACUUCGGCUUUUCUUGGCCGAGGUGGCAUGCUAGCCAUUCGUCACGGAUGCUGUGUUUGAAGGCUGCUAGGGCCUCGGCAUCCGGACAAUCAACGAUCUAGUUCUUUUUGGUUAGGAAACUAGUCCAGAAGUUUCUGGCUGAUUCUCCAGGUUGUUGAACUAUGUGGCUUAAGUCAUCGGCAUCUGGUGGCCGGACAUAAGUUCCUUGGAAGUUAUCAAGGAAAGCCUCUUCCAAGUCCUCCCAGCUGUCGAUGGAAUUCUUAGGCAGGCUAUUUAACCAGUGUCGAGCUGGUCCUUUGAGCUUUAAUGGGAGGUAUUUGAUGGCGUGGAGGUCAUCUCCUCGAGCCAUAUGGAUAUGGAGAAUAAAAUCCUUGAUCCAUACUGCAUGAUCAGUUGUGUCGUCGUAUGAUUCAAUAUUGACAGGCUUGAACCCCUCGGGGAAUUCGUGAUCCAGCACCUCGUCUGUAAAGCAGAGAGGGUGUGCGGCGCCUCUAUAGCAGGCCGUGUCACGGCGUAGCUCUAAUGGAGUCCGUCUGUGGCAUUCGGCCCGGGCAUGGUUAGGUUUGUCAUGUCCGAAUAGGUAGCCGUCGUCGUGCCUCGAGGCACGUCCUCGCGAUCCGUAGAUCGAUCUUGUAUGUCUUGCUCUACUGUCCAGGGUCUGCCGGAUGUCGUACGUGUGACCCCAAACUCUUCCGUCUCUAUUUUUACGGGGCGGUGGGGCAGGCUGUUGUUCGGCCUGAGUUGCCGCUUUAUCCCGACCACGGGGUGGCCGGUCGGCCGCCCUGUCUCGACCACGUGGUGGUCGUUCCACGUUACGCGAGGGAGAUGUGUGCUCUGGUGCCCCCUCAUCGAAUUGAGGUAGCAGUCUGCGUUUCGGGUAGCUCUUGGCUGGGCGCUUGAGGCCGUAUUCUUCGGCUGUCAGGACGUCAGUCCAUCUGUCGACGAGCAGAUCUUGUUCAGCUUGAAGCUGCUGCUGUUUCUUUUUCAGGAUCCUUGCAGUGGCUAUGAGCUAAAGCUUAAAGCGCUCCUGCUCCAGAGGAUCCUCAGGCACGAUGAAGUCUUCAUUGCCGAGGCUUGUCUCCUCCUCGGAGGGUGGACGGUAACUAUCGUCCUCCGAGUCAUCUUCUAUGGCCUGUUCAUCAGGGUUGUCUUGCCUGUUGUCAUGUUCCUCCUGUUCGGAUGUAGCUCCGACAGGAUCUUCGUUAUUUUCGGCGUCGCCCGGAGUACUAUUUUCUCUGGUGCCAGUAUUGCUAUCUUUUGAGCGACGAGGCUUAGAGCGGCAUUUGGGGCGCCGGCACUUGGACUGCGUCUCAGAGGGUUUAUUCGCGUCUGGCUCUUCUUUGUCGUCGCCAGAUCCUUUAGGUGUAUCAACCAUGUACACGCCGUACGAGGACGUGGCCGUCCGACAUCCAGUAAAUGGCGGGUCUUGGCCUUGCUCCUUGUUGGCAUCGUCGUCCAUAUCGUCGAUGUCUUCGGAGCCAUAGUCAAGCACGUCGGUUAAGUCAUCGACGGUGGCUAUGAAGUGGGUGGUGGGUGGGAAGCAAAAUUCCUCACCAUCCGCCUCUAGCUCGAACCGAACAUAGUUCAGCUGUGAGUCUUCCUCCAAGGACAACUUCUUUAAAGAGUUUAGUACGUCACCCAAAGGUGAAUGCUGGAAGAUGUCUGCGACGCUAAAUUCGAAAAUCGAUAACCGAUCCAGCUCGGUGUCCGCAGGCGCACCUGAUCCGGAACGUAUAGCCGGAGACGAGUCCGGAGUUCCAUUGACGCGCUCGUUGCAGGAUGUCCAGUCCGUCUGCGGCUCCAACGCCACGGACUUUGUGGCCUCGGAGGGCACGGUCUGCUUCGGUUCUGAAGUCGUUGCAGCAACGGGAUCCAUCUCCUGGACGUAAUCCGAUAACAGAUUUAAGUCAUGUUCAUCGGAGCGCGGGGGAGCAAUUGCCGCGGUAUGAAAUCCAUUGAAGAUCAAGUCUCCACGGAUAUCUGCGAUGUAGUUCAAGCUUCCAAAUCUAACCUGAUGGCCAGGGGCGUAGCUAUCAACCUGCUCCAGAUGGCCAAGCGAGUUGGCCCGUAGUACGAAGUCGCCGAACACAAAGAUUUGUCCGAGGAGGAAGGUUUCUCCCUGGACGACGUCAUUACUGACGAUCGAAGGGGCCAUCGAGUCCUUUGCCGACGGCACAGUGGAACUCUCAAUGAAAUCACCAAUGUCGGUGUCAAACCAGCGGAUCUCGGGUAGGGGGUCCCAAACUGUGCGUCUAGGAUCGAUGGUAACAGGAGAACGGGGACACGGUGUUUACCCAGGUUCGGGCCCUCUCUAUGGAGGUAAUACCCUACAUCCUACUUGAUUUAUCUUGAUGAAUAUGAGUGUUACAAGAGUUGAUCUACCACGAGAUCGUAAUGGCUAAACCCUAGGAGUCUAGCCUAUGUGAAUAUGGUAAUGAGUAUCUCUCCUAUCCGGACUAUGCUCAAUGGUUUAUAUAGACACCCGAGAGAUCUAGGGUUACAUGGGGUCGGUUACAUAAGAAGGAAUCUUCACAGUUGGUCGCCUAGCUUGCCUUCCACGCCAAGGAAAGUCCAAUCCGGACACGGGUAUAGUCUUCGGCCUUCGUAUCUUCACAGCCCAUCAGUCCGGCCCAAUGAAUAACAGGCCGGACGCCCGAGGACCCCUUACUCCAGGACUCCCUCAGAGAGGCUGACAGCUGGGUCCACGACCGCAGCAAGGAAGUGCCUCCUUAUUAAGCGCAAAAUAAUUAUUCCUCCACCUGAUAGCGGGGACCCACCCGGACGGGCCACCGUAUUUUGCGAAAAAAACAUUUCCCCCUGACUGCUGGGGCCCACCAGCUACAUCUUCGCACGCAAGGAAGUGCGUCCGGGCAAAAAAACGAUUCGCCCCCAUGACUGCUAGGACCCACCAGCUACAUCUUCGCAGGCAAGAAAGUGCCUGACAGUCGGGACCCACCUGGUCGAAGCGUACGUAGCGUUGUCAUUCUGGUCGCGAACGUGUACGUACAUACUGGUCGAUGUAGAGGCGCGCACGUGUCGUAGUAGAGGCGCGCAUGUAGCAUGUACAUGUAUGUACAGCGGCAAGUGUGCAAGAAAGAAAAUAUGGCCACGUACGUACAUACGGGCAGGGUCUCGAACACCUACUCGCGCAUACGUACGGCCAGGGCUCGUGUACAUGGCUGGGUCAGAACGGAGAAACUGCGUCGUCAUCGUGUUCACGGGGAGCCAACCAGCUGGGUCGGAACGGAAUGUGUCGUCGUGUUCAUCGGGAGGGCUUGGACGGAACAGCCGAUGGAAACGAGGCCUGGCGUACCGCAGAAUGGAGGAAACGGCCUUGUGUUCGACUGGCCACGGUCGAAACGGGACCCUGUUCAUCGGGAGGGGUCUGGCGUACCGCAAAACGGAGGAAACGGACCUCCUACGGUCGAAACGGGGGUCCUGUUGAUCGGGAGGGGUGUGGCGUACCGCAAAACGCAGGAAACGGACUUGUGUUGGAGCGCUACGGUUGAAACGGGGGUCCUGUUCAUCGGGAGGGGUGUGGCGUACCGCAAAACGGGACUCCACGGGAUACUGUUCAUCUCCACCGUCGACCCCCUCCAGCCUCCACGGCUACUGUUCAUCCACCGUCGACCUCCUCCAGCCUCCACAUGUGACAGUUCAUCCACGGGCUCCUGUUCAUCGAGCCUCCACCGCGCGCUACUCCACCGGGUACUGUUCAACCAGCCCUCUCCAUGGGCUCCUGUUCAACCACCCCUCCACGGGCUACUGUUCAUCCAGCCCUCCACUGUCUACUGUUCAUCCUGCCCUCCAUGGGGUGGUCCUGUUCAUCCAGCCGUCCACGGGGUCCUGUUCAUCCAGCCCCAACCGGCUCGAUCGACCGGGGUCCUGUUCAUCCAGAGGCAACACCACGGGGUCCUGUUCAUCCACCCCCACCGGAACUGUUCANNNNNNNNNNNNNNNNNNNNNNNNNNNNNNNNNNNNNNNNNNNNNNNNNNNNNNNNNNNNNNNNNNNNNNNNNNNNNNNNNNNNNNNNNNNNNNNNNNNNNNNNNNNNNNNNNNNNNNNNNNNNNNNNNNNNNNNNNNNNNNNNNNNNNNNNNNNNNNNNNNNNNNNNNNNNNNNNNNNNNNNNNNNNNNNNNNNNNNNNNGGUCCUGUUCAUCCAGCCCCACCGGGAACUGUUCAUCCAAACCCCCCAGCAACGCUCACUGUUCAUCCAGAGGCAGCAUCGAUCGGCUUCAGUUAGCAGCAGUAGCGAAGGAAUCGCUCGAUCGUGUUCAGUUAACAGCCAUCGAUCGAUCGCUCGGGUUCAGUAACGCGUAGCCUGCAGUGCAAUCGCUCGGGUUCAGUUAGAGCCCAACGCCUCGCUCGGGUUCAGUUAGAGCCCAACGCCUUGCACCCACGCGCAUGCGUGUACGAGAGAAACGCGCAUCGCUCAGCCCCGACCACCCACCGUAACCGGGAACACCCCGAUAUUUUCCUCACCCUUGCUUCUACCAUGGUUUUUUCCGUCAUGGACAGCCCAAAGAAUGUCAUGCAGCUGCGUCUCCGGCCCGCCCAGGACGAAAAGCCCAUUUUCUGUCAUAGAAGUAGGACCCCACCACAUCUAUGAUGAUACCGGGUUUUGUCACAAUUAUCGUCAUAGAAGUGUCAUAAGUGUCGUGGUUUUGUCACGGCAGAUGUCCUAGAGAAAGGACUUAGUCGUGGAGCCAUCGCUACGGGUUAGCUUAAAGGGGUUAAAGCGGACAAGGGACACAAGAGAGUUUUAUACUAGUUCGGCCCCUUACGAUGAAGGUAAAAGCCUACGUCUAGUUCUGAUGGAAUUGAUGGGGUUUCGAUGACCAGGGAGCGAAUACGCUUUGCCUGAGUCUCGAGUUGUUGUCUGUUGUCCUUGAACCGCCGCCGGGUCAUCCCCUUAUAUACAUGGGUUGACGCCCGUCGGUUUACAGAAUCCCGAGGCGGCUCAUAAUCGUGUCCGGCUCGGUCUCUGCUACUUCUACGUUACAAUACAAGUUUACAUGUCAAUGCCGGUUUAUGUCUACGGCCCUUACACCGGCUUUGGGCCCUGGGCCUCCAUAAAGCGUCACCGUCUGUGUUCAUGGGCUUCAGAUACAGAUGAACUACUUAUGGGGUUAACUCGGCCUCUCCUGGCCGGUUUACGCCCAGUGGUAAUAUCCCCAACAAUAAGUAUGACAGAAAAAAUUUCGUUCGGCCCAAAAUGUCACGGAUGUGUCUUUUUUUGUAGUGAAGGCGGCUGCUGAUUUAGAGGCCGAACAGGCCACUUGGCGUCAAUGCGAGGAGAGAAUAUCUACCAUAGAGCGAGAGCUAAAGGAUGCCACUAGCAAAUGCAAAUCACUCGAGGAGGAUAACAAAGCCAAGGCAGCCGAACUCGACAAGGCCUUACAAGAAGCGAGAGAAGCACGGUCCGAGUCUAGAGCGGCUCGGGAGGAGAUCCGGCAAGCUGGGGAGAUAGCGGCUGGUAAGCCCUUUCUUUUACAGACUAAGUUCGGUGACCCGAAGUAUGCUCUGCUUAAUCAAUUGCGAAGUUCUCCAGACGCGUUCUUGGACCUGCCGAAGAGUGUCUCCGACGCGGCGCAGUUCUUCCAAGCGCAGGAAGGACGUGCUACAGAGAAGAUUUUCUGGUCACAAUUCAACGUGCCACGGCAUCCGGCAUUGCUGAACGAACAGAUGGCCCAGUGGGCCGAGCUCCACAAGAUGUCCGGAGCUGCCAUGAAGGACGUCGUGGUCCGGCUAUGGCCGGCUGAACCCAUUCCGAACAGCUAUUUUGGUUUGGUGCAGCGACUUGUCGAUGCCGUGCCGCAUAUCGACGCCGUCAAGCGGUCGGCGUGCAUAGAAGGUGCCCGGAUGGCCUUCGCCCGCGUCAAGAUGUACUGGGCAAAGAUGAAGGCCACAGAUGUUGCAGCUAAGGGCCCGCCCGGAGGCAAGGACCAUCGCACGCCGGAGCAUUAUUUGGAGGACGUCCUAGAGGGCGCCCGCUUGAUAGAGGGUCAGUGCUCGAAGGAUAUUAUGUUCGAAUAAAUACACCAGAAUUGUGAGAACAAUAUUAUGAUACAUUAAGGUUGUGCUAUAUUCGUACCUUUGCCUGAAAGUUAUUUCCUCCUGUGCGGCCAUUUCUUAUAAUCUGAAAGUUUGCCGGUCGUUGGCUUCAGCCCCCUCGCAUAUAAUACGGGGGUGUUCGGAAUAGGACCUGAUCACUCUUGACCCAACGUCUUGGUCCGUAACGGAGGUGUCAGUGCGGCGAACUAGGCAAUCGGACUAUAGGGCUUUAACACUUUCACUUAGCCAUAGGAGUUUGACGGUGGGUCUACGAUGUAGCCCCUGGUAUGUACGCGGUUAUCCGAAUACGGUUGCGUUACAUAGGUGACCAGAAAAUGGUCCUUCAUGUAGUACUGAAGAAAUUGCAAAAGAUUCUAAUAAGUCGCCGAGUGGUUGACCAUCUCUCACCGCAUCAUGACGGUCAGUUUUCGGCUUUCUCUACUGAGGUGUUUAACUAGGUGAACCGGAAACACAAUCGCAGUAGUUCUCCCUUUACUGCCCUAGCCGAUAAGACAGAACGUAAGGUAGUAAGCACAGGAGCCGGGCAACCCAACUAUUGACCAAAGACAUGAUUCGGAGCUGAUGCAUAUAAUGCCAAACUCGUGACGCCGAAGUAUGAUGUAGAGCUGUUCGGACUUUUCGGCAACCCAUAUGUUGCCGUAUCGAGCCCCUGGCGAUUUGUGCCGAGGUGUGUGCAUGAGACAACUGAAGAAGCAAAAUACAGUUCUAUGAGGAGAAGCAAAUGCUGAAGACGGAUUAUGUUCACGGGAAUCUGAUUGAUGCGUCGAAACGCAAUCUUACAUAUUAUAACACCACUACCCAGGCCAUUUUACAUGCCAGGGGUCGGCGGCUGAGGAAAAAGGCUCUAUACAGGUUUUAAAUAGAGUAUUUGGUCUAUAGAAAAUCUUUUGGACCUCCUGUCGCACGUCUGCGCUGCCUUUGCCUCAGCGAAAAGGAUUCCUUAAAAGGAGUAAUCUUUGGUUAUUUGUACGAAACCGGGCUCAGAAAGAGUCCUUGUAGGUCCGUAGGAUGAACCAGUUUUGAUUCACCUGUGGCAAAAGAUAAGAUAUAGUUAGAAAAGAGAAGAAGGUUGUAGGAGGGCGAAGUGUAUUGUAGGCCUGUCCAUAUUGUGCCUCUGCCGAUGACCAAGGUAUUUUAAGUGCAUAAUUAUGCAUGCGCGAUACGAACUUCGCGGGUAUAUGUGGCAAACGACAGAAGCGGAACUGCUAAUCCAGCUAUAAAAUUGACCAGUCCUGUGUAAUAGAGGGUGGUGGCUUAAUGGCCGAUGAGAUAUGCGGCUUGACGGGGCCGCUUUGUACUUCGGCUGCCAUGGACGUGGUAUGCUCCUCGGUAUGGAGGGAGCGUUCCGUGUUUCCGUUGAUCGUGAUGACGCCGCGUGGACCGGGCAUCUUAAGCUUUAGAUAGCCGUAGUGUGGGAUCGCAUUGAAACGAGCAAAAGCGGUCCGCCCGAGUAGUGCAUGGUAGCCACUUCGGAACGGGACAAUAUUGAAGGUCAAGUCUUCGCUUCAAAAGUUGUCUGGCGAACCGAAAACGGCUUCUAAUGUGAUUGAACCCAUGCAGUGAGCUUCGACGCCGGGUAUUACUCCCUUGACGGUAGUUGUGGUGGGCUUGUUCCUUGAGGGGUCAAUGCCCAUCUUGCGGACAGUGUCUUGAUAAAGUAAAUUAAGGCUACUGCCGCCGUCCAUAAGGACUCGCAUGAGAUGGAAUCCAUCGAUAACUGGAUCGAGGACCAAAGCUGCUGAACCUCCGUGACGGAUAUUGGUUGGGUGGUCCUUGCGAUCAAAAGUGAUUGAGCAGGCCGCCCAUGGGUUAAAUUUUGGGGCGACCUGCUUUAUGGCGUAGACAUCUCGUAGUGCGCCUUGCGCUCCCUUGUAGGGAUAUGCGUCACAUAUAGCAUGUUUACUGUUUGACUUCGGGGGGAAAUUGCUUCUGUCCCCCAGUGUUCGGUUGGCGAGUCUCUUUGUCUUUGCUGUCACUGGGCGGCCCCUUCCCUUUGUGUUCGGCAUUGAGCUUGCCGGCUUGUUUGAAAACCUAGCAAUUUCUGUUGGUAUGGUUGGCGGGUUUGUCAGGGCUGCCAUGAAUCUGACAGGGCCGAUCUAGUAUCUUGUCUGGACUGGAUGGACCAUCUCUGUUUGCCUUGAAUGGCUUCUUCCGUUGACCGGAUUUGGGAUCACGGAAUCCGGCGUUGACCGCCGUGUCUUGAGUUCCUGCAUUAUUGUUUCGACGCUUGUUUUUAUUGCGUCGUGGCUUGCCAUUGCUGUCCCUGGCUUCGGAGGUGCCAGGAUCGCUGGUGCUAUUGCUUCUACGAGCAAGCCAACUAUCUUCUCCCGUGCAAAAGUGGGUCAUCAGUGCGGUAAGAGCUGCCAUGGACUUGGGUUUUUCUUGGCCGAGGUGACGGGCAAGCCACUCAUCUCGGACGCUAUGUUUAAAGGCCGCGAGGGCUUCGGCGUCCGGACAGUCGACAAUUUGGUUCUUUUUAAUUAGGAACCUAGUCCAGAGUUUUCUGGCUGACUCUCCGGGCUGCUGGAUGAUGUGACUGAGGUCAUCGGCGUCCGGAGGCCGGACAUAUGUACCUUGGAAGUUGUCGCGAAAGGCGUCUUCCAAGUCUUCCCAGUUGGCAAUGGACUUCUCUGGGAGGCUGUUUAGCUAGUUCCGGGCUGGCCCCUUUAAUUUUAGUGGGAGGUAUUUGAUGGCAUGGAGAUCAUCACCACGGGCCAUGUGGAUAUGGAGAAGAAAAUCCUCAAUCCAUACUGCGGGGUCGGUUGUUCCAUCAUAUGAUUCGAUAUUCAUAGAUUUAAACCCUUCUGGGAAUUCGUGCUCCAUUACUUCCUCGGUGAAGCAUAGGGGGUGUGCGGCGCCUCUAUAAUGGGCGACAUCGCGACGGAGUUCGGCGGACAUUCCUAUGCGGUUUUCACCCCGAGUGAGGUGGUGUUGAUCACGCCGGGCCUGAUAGUCGUCCUCUUGUGUUGGGGCACAUCCCCUUGACCCGUAGAUUGACCUGGCUAGGCCUGCCCUAGUGUCCAGGUCUUACCGUAGGUCAUAGUUGUAAUCCUGGGCUACUGUCUCCUUGCCUUUACGGUGGGGGAAUAUGGGUUGAUGUUCGGCUUGAGUAGCCGUUCUGUCUCGGCCACGCGGUGGCCGGUCUAGUUUAUCGGCUGCGUUACGCGCUGAUGUUAGGGGCUCCUGCGCCUCCACGACGAAUUGGGGUAACAACUUGCGCUUCGGGUAGCUUUUGGUUAGUCGUGCGAGGUCGUAUUCCUCGGCUGCCGGGACAUUAGUCCAUCUGUCAUUGAGCGUAUCCUGUUCGGCUUGAAGUCGUUGAUGCUUCCUUUCCAGGCUCCUCGCGGUUGCGAUGAGCUAUUGCUUACAGCGUUCUUGCUCGAGGGGUUCCUCUGGCACGAUGAAGUCUUCGUCGCCGAGGCUUGUUUCGUCUUUGGAGGGUGGCAUAUAAUUGCUAUCCGUCGAGUCCUCGUUCCCGACUGGCUCGUCAAGGUUACUCUGCCCCUCCUCUCUAUCAUCCUGUUCGGAUGUUGGUUCGACGGGGGCGUCUCGGUCUUCGGCAUUCUCCGGAGUGUUAUCGUCUCCAUUGUCAGUAUUGCUUUCUUUGUCGCGGUGUGAUUUUGAACGGCGCCGCUGAUGCCGCCGCUUUGGUGGUUUAUCAGUGUUAUUGUCCUUGAUUGGAUCCUUACUGCCUUCAUCGCCAUCCUAUUUUGGCGUAUCCACCAUGUAUACGUCGUAUGUGGAGGUGGCCUCCCAGCGUCCGGUAUGCGACGGGUUUUGGCUUUGUUCGUCUCCGGCAUCGACGUCCAUACCAUAGAUGUCUUCGGAGUUACGGUCAAGCAUGUCGGUUAGGUCCUCGACAGUGGCUAUGAAGUGGGUGGUGGGUGGGACAUAAAAUUCCCCGCUCUCAGCCCCUAGUCCGGGCUGGGCGUAGUUCGGACGUUCCCCCUCUGUAAUGACGAGGGAUCGCAUUAAGUCCAGAGCCUCGCUUAAAGGCGAGAUUUGGCCAGGGAGAAGAGAGUCCGUGGAGUAUGGCGGGAAGGAAACUCCUUGGCCGAGCUCACACGCUGCUGACUCCGAGGGUCCGGGGCCAGUGUUCGGGGAAGAGUCCGGCUUCAUGAUGAUUGCCGGUGACACUACUUCCUCCGGCUCUCCCGUACUAGGCUCAAUAGCCGCAAAGAGUCCGGCGGGCUCGGACAUCGCGUCUUCGGACCUGGUGACGUGCUCCGGAUCUAAGGCCAGAGCGGAGGUUGGGGUCGCGAACCCUUGGAAGAUCAAGUCUCCUCGGAUAUCAGUGACAUAAUCAAGAUUUCCAAAACUAAUCUGGUGACCUGGGGCGUAGCUGUCGAUCUGCUCUAGAUGGCCAAGCGAGUUGGCCCGCAGUGCGAAGCCGCCGAACACAAAGAUCUGGCCGGGGAGGAAGACCUCCCUUAGGGCAGCAUUGUUGUAGAUGAUUGAUGGAGCCAUCGAGCCUUCUGUCGACGGCACAGUGGAACUCUAAAUGCAAGCACCAAUGUCGGUGUCAAAACCGGCGGAUCUCGAGUAGGGGGUCCCGAACUGUGCGUCUGAGGAUCGAAGGUAACAGGAGACAGGGACACGAUGUUUACCCAGGUUCGGGCCCUCUCGAUGGAGGUAAUACCCUACUUCCUGCUUGAUUAUCUUGGAUGAAUAUGGGGUUUGCAAGAGUUGAUCUACCUCGAGAUCAUAAUGGCUAAACCCUGGAUGUGUAGCCUGUAUGAUUAUGAUUGCCUCUACGGACGAAACACUCCAGUUUAUAUAGACACCAGAGGGACCUAGGGUUGUACAGGGUUGGUUUACACAGGAAGGAAUCUUCACAUCCGAACGCCAAGCUUGCCUUCCAUGUAAAGGAGAGUCCCAUCCGGACACGGGAAGAAUUCUUCUGUCUUUGCAUCUUCAUGGUCCAUUAGUCCGGCCCACGUCACAUAGCCCCGACGCCCAAGGACCCCUUAAUCUAGGACUCCCUCACCCAUUGCAAGAAAGAUCAGUCUAGUAGGCCAAAGUAAACCGAUAAUUCGAAGAGACUUGCAAAGAUAUCAAAUCAUGCAUAUAAGAAUUCGGAGAAGAACCAAAUAAUAUUAAUAGAUAAUCUUGUUCAUAAAUCCACAAUUCAUCGGAUCUCGGCAAACACACCGCAAAAGAGUAUUACAUCAAAUAGAUCCCCAAGAACAUCGAGGAGAACUUUGUAUUGAGAAUCAAAGAGAGAGAAGAGGCCAUCUAGCUAAUAACUAUGGACCCGAAGGUUUGUGGUAAACUACUCACGCUUCAUCGGAGAGGCAAUGGUGUUGAUGUAGAAGCCCUCCGUGAUUGGUUCCCCCUCCGGCAGAUCGCCGGAAAAGGCCCCAAGAUGGGAUCUCACGGGUACAGAAGGUUGCAGCGGUGGAAAAGUGGUUUCGUGGCUCUCUCUGAUUGAUCUAGGGUAUAAGAGUAUAUAUAGGCGAAAAAAGUACGUCAGUGGAGCUAUGNNNNNNNNNNNNNNNNNNNNNNNNNNNNNNNNNNNNNNNNNNNNNNNNNNNNNNNNNNNNNNNNNNNNNNNNNNNNNNNNNNNNNNNNNNNNNNNNNNNNNNNNNNNNNNNNNNNNNNNNNNNNNNNNNNNNNNNNNNNNNNNNNNNNNNNNNNNNNNNNNNNNNNNNNNNNNNNNNNNNNNNNNNNNNNNNNNNNNNNNNNNNNNNNNNNNNNNNNNNNNNNNNNNNNNNNNNNNNNNNNNNNNNNNNNNNNNNNNNNNNNNNNNNNNNNNNNNNNNNNNNNNNNNNNNNNNNNNNNNNNNNCGUGGCGUUCCAGACUUCGACUCCAAGUCUUCUGGAUUGCUUUCGGUCCAAGAAAUAUCAUCGCGAAGGUUUCAUUCCAUUUGGACUCCGUUUGGUAUUCCUUUUCUGCGAAACUCUAAAAUAGGCAAAAAAACAGAAAUUGGCACUGGGCCUCCGGUUAAUAGGUUAGUCCCAAAAAUAAUAUAAAAGAGCAUAUUAAAGCCUAUUAAACAUCCAAAACAGAUAAUAUAAUAGCAUGGAACAAUCAAAAAUUAUAGAUACGUUGGAGACGUAUCAAGCAUCCCCAAGCUUAAUUCCUCCUCGUCCUCGAGUAGGUAAAUGAUAAAAACAGAAUUUUUGAUGUGGAAUGCUACCUAACAUAAUUAUCAAUGUAAUUUUCUUUAUUGUGGCAUGAAUGUUCAGAUCCGAAAUAUCCAAGACAAAAGUUUAAUAUUCACAUAAAAAUAAUAAUACUUCAAGCAUACUAACAAAGUAAUCAUGUCUUCUCAAAAUAACAUGGCCAAAGAAAGUUCAUCCCUACAAAAUCAUAUAGUUUGGCUAUGCUCCAUCUUCGUCACACAAAAUGUUCAAAUCGUGCACAACCCCGAUGACAAGCCAAACAAUUGUUUCAUACUUUAGUAUUCUCAAACUUUUUCAACUUUCACGAAAUACAUGAGCGUGAGCCAUGGAGAUAGCACUAUAGGUGGAAUAGAGUGGUGGUUGUGGAGAAGUCAAAAAGGAGGAAGAUGGUCUCACAUCAACUAGGCGUAUUAAUGGGCUAUGGAGAUGCCCAUCAAUAGAUAUCAAUGUGAGUGAGUAGGAAUUGCCAUGCAACGGAUGCACUAGAGCUAUAAAUGUAUGAAAGCUCAACAAAAGAAACUAAGUGGGUGUGCAUCCAACUUUCUUGCUCAUGAAGACCUAGAGCAAUUUGAGGAAGCCCAUUAUUGGAAUAUACAAGCCAAGUUCUAUAACGAAAAUUCCCACUAGUAUAUGAAAGUAACAAAAUAAGGGACUCUUUAUCAUGAAGGUCAUGGUGCUACUUUGAAGCACAAGUGUGGGAAAGGAUAGUAGCAUUGUCCCCUCUCUCAUUUUCGCUCUCUUUUUUUUGUUUGGCUUCUUUGGCCUUCCCCUUUUUUUCAUUGGCUUCUUUGGCCUCUCUUUUUUUAGAACCUCACACGGGACAAUGCUCUAAUAAUGAUGAUCAUCACACUUCUAUUUAUUUACAACUCAAGGAUUACAACUCGAUACUUAGAACAAAAUAUGACUCUAUAUGCGUGCCUCCGGCAGUGUACCGUGAUGUGCAAUGAAUCAAGAGUGACAUGUAUGAAAAAAAUUAUGAAUGGUGGCUUUGCCACAAACACGAUGUCAACUACAUGAUCAUGAAAGGCAAUAUGACAACGAUGGAGCGUGUCAUAAGAGACGGAAUGGUGGAAAGUUGCAUGGCAAUAUAUGUCGGAAUGGCUAUGGAAAUGUCAUAAUAGGUAGGUAUGGUGGCUGUUUUGAGGAAGGUAAAUUGUGGGUUUAUGGUACCAGCGAAAGUUGCGCGGUACUAGAGAGGCAAGCAACGGUGGAAGGGUGAGAGUGCGUAUAAUCCAUGGACUCGCCAUUAGUCAUAAAGAACUCACAUACUUAUUGCAAAAAUCUACAAGUCAUCAAAACCAAGCACUACGAGCAUGCUCCUAGGCGGAUAGAUUGGUAGGAAAAGACCAUUGCUCGUUCCCGACCGCCACUCAUAAGGAAGACAAUCAAAUAAACACCACAUGCUUCAAAUUUGUCACACAAUGGUUACCAUACGUGCAUGCUACGGGACUUGCAAACCUCAACACAAGUAUUUCUCAAAUUCACAAUUAAUCUACUAUCAUGACUCUAAUAUCACCAUCCUCAUGUCUCAAAACAAUCAUCAAGCAUCAAACUUCUCAUAGUAUUCAACGCACUUUAUAUGAAAGGUUUUAUUAUACCCAUCUUGGAUGCCCAUCAUAUUAGGACUAGUUUUAUAGCCAAAGAAAAUUACCAUGAUGUUCUAAAAGACUCUCAAAAUAAUAUAAUGAAGCAUGAUAGAUCAAUAAUUUCUAUAAAAUAAAACCACCACCGUGCUCUAAAAAGAUAUAAGUGAAGCACUAGAGCAAAAUUGUCUAGCUCAAAAGAUAUAAGUGAAGCACAUAGAGUAUUCUAAUAAAUUCCGAUUCAUGCGUGUCUCUCCCAAAAUGUGUGUACAUAAAGUAUGAUUGUGGUAAACUAAAAAUCAAAGACUCAAAUCAUACAAGAGGCUCCAAGCAAAACACAUAUCAUGUGGUGAAUGAAAAUAUAGCCUCAAGUAAAGUUACCGAUACACGAAGACGAAAGAGGGGAUGCCUUCUGGGGCAUCCCCAAGCUUAGGCUUUUGGUUAUCCUUGAAUUUUACCUUGAGGUGCCUUUGGAAUCCCCAAGCUUAGGAUCUUGCCACUCCUUAUUCCAAAAUCCAUCAAAUCUUUACCCAAAAACUUGAAAACUUCACAACACAAAACUUAAACAGAAAAUAUCAUGAGCUUCGUUAGUAUAAAAAAAUAAACCACCACUUUAAGGUACUGUAAUGAACUCAUUCUUUAUUUAUAUUGGUGUUAAACCUACUGUAUUCCAACUUCUCUAUGGUUCGUACCCCCCGAUACUAGUCAUAGAUUUAUCAAAAUAAGCAAACAACACACGAAAAACAGAAUCUGUCAAAAACAGAACAGUCUAUAGUAAUCUGACUUGUUCGAAUACUUCUGCAACUCCAAAAAUUUUGAAAUAAAUUGGUGGACGUGAGUAAUUUGUCUAUUAAUCAUAUGAAAAAAGAAUCAACCUAAAAUCACUCUCCAGUAAAAAAUGGCAGCUAAUCUCGUGAGUGCAAAAGUUUCUGUUUUUACAGCAAGAUCGCAAAGACUUCACCCAAGUCUUCCCAAAGGUUCUACUUGGCACAAACACUAAUUAAAACAUAAAACCACAUCUAAA
rnacentral:lncRNA from 1 species